rnacentral:lncRNA from 1 species
UCUGGGCUCUUGGUAGCAGAAGCAAUAGGUAUCUAUACACACAAAUUUAGUACAGUACUUAUCAAGAUUAACCCGGUAACAGCCUUACUUAGUUUCUCCUCUUCACUAAUUGCAAGAAGCCUCCUGGAAUGAAUCAAAGGAUGAUGCCUCGCUCGGUACUCAUUGCAAGAAGUAGCCGGAGAGGAAGAAGGCGAAGCCGACAAGGAGGCUUCCGUAGAUGAGUAGCGUCUUCUGGCCGGAGGUGAGCGAGUUGCCGCCGAGCCCGAACUGCUGGUUCUGCGCGAACCCGGNNNNNNNNNNNNNNNNNNNNNNNNNNNNNNNNNNNNNNNNNACGCUCUUGCUGUCGAAGAAGGACUGCGCCGCGCCGCACGUCGGGCACCGCCAAUCGUCCGGGACCUUGGCGAACGGCAGCCCCGGGGGCACCGGGUAGGACGGGUCUCCCUUGGCCUGGUCGUACAGGUAGCCGCAGGACCGGCACUCGUGCACCCCCGUGUUCAGCACCGCGAACUGCUCCUCGAACCGGCGGGGGUCAAGCUUCGGCACGUCCUCCUCCGCGUCCAACUCCCCCGGCAGUGGCGUCGUCAGGUCGCCGACGCCGACGCCGGCUGCAUCUUCUUGUUUGGUCUCGAGCGCCGUGUCCAGCGGCUUGUCGUCCUUGGAGACGUCGACGGAGUGGAGCGUGAAGUGAAACGAUGAGGUCAGGGGCUUAUGGGUGUGGAGGAGCAAGGGUGUUGGUGCAGUUCUUGGGCUCUUGGAUACCACCAAGCAUGGAUGGAUUAGCCGUGCUGUGGCCAUUGCCAUUUUAGCUAACCCCUUGUUUUUCUCUUUCCUCUCCCUCUCUCCGAUCCAAGGUAUGGAGGUGAGGGGAGCGAAUCCAUCGCGGAGGAUAUGCUUUGGUCUGUUGAUGCUAAGGCAAAGUGGGGGCGUGGGAGGAUAAGAUAUGUGUGCACCAGGGCUGGACCCGUCACAUGCUCUUUGGAGAAAUGUUUCGGGACACCAUCAAAAUUGCUAGACUGAAAUACGGAGCAAGAGCAUCUACAAUCGCACCGGUCAUACCCCCUCAAACAUCCAGUCACGUCGUUCGGUUAUUGAUCGGUUACAAAAUUUUAACUUAACUCGGCCUUUUAAAUCGAUGUCAAAUGUCCGGGUUGAGCGGCACAUUCAUAUUCAGCCCAAAUAUAUGGAUGGAUAUGGGGGAGUCCUGAUGUGUCCGGACAUGUUCGCUAUGUUGAACCCGACAUCCUGACACCAUCGUAAAUUGCAUCAAAUCCACCCCGCAGAACUGCGGGAUCCAUUUGUUGUUUUCCGUUCUUCUUCCUCCUCGCAACAUCUGUCUCGCAGCUUUGUUACCUUUCGUAGACUCCGCCUCGUCAGCUCCGUCACACGAGUCUUCUGUCCCGUCCUUGCUGCGGAGGACGACGGCGGCGGCCUGGAAGACAUCACCAUACGUCCGACAACUCUCUAGCUCUACCUUGCGCUGGAUGUGUUCGACACAAUGUCUGAAUGGAAUUUUUGGUCAAACUUUUAGGGGAAAUGAUGGAUUCUGAUGCUUGUCGGGCAAGGACUAUGGACCGACGGAGCUUGAUCAACUGAUUCAAGAUGAGUUCUUCGAUUCAUCGAAUUCGGACGAAGAAGUGGACAUGAUCGUAUUUAUGACAAGGCAAGAGGAAAUGGAUCGACAAGUGGAGCAUAUUCUUAAUUUUCAAGGGCUCAAUUAAAGGGAGAAGAGUGAUCAAUCGAGAUAGGGUAUCCGGGACAAAGCUACUACAGAAGGAUUACUUUGCUCGGAACCCAACUUUUCCGGAUGAUCCAUGGCUUCGUCGUCGUUUUCGCGUGUGAAAACCAUUGCUUUUGCGCAUUGUGGACGCAGUGGAGGCACGCGAUGACUACUUCAAGCUUACAAGGGAUUGUUGUGGUAAACUCUCUUUCUCUGCUAAGCAGAUGUGCACGACUGUUGUGAGAAUGCUUGCACUUGAUACACCGGCAGAUGUCGCUGGUGAGAUGGUCAUGACGGGGGAGAUCACGUGCCUGAAGACUAUUGUCAAGUUUGACUGUGUUGUGGUCGAGGUGUUUGGAGGAGAGUAUCUGAGAGAAUCAAAUAUGCGGGGUACAAAGAAGUUUUCGCUAUUGGAGAGGCCAGAGGGUUUCCAGGAAUUCUCGGAUCAAUUGAUUGCAUGCAUUGAAAGUGAAAGAACUAUCCCAAAGGUUCGCAAGGAAUGUAUCAAGGUCACACCAUAUAGGACACCAUCAUAGUAGAAGCGGUGAUAUCACAUGAUUUAUGGAUUUGGCAUGCUUUUUUUAAAAUGUUGGGUUUUCACAACGACAUCAACGGUCUCCGGUGUUUAAGAGGCUUUGCAACAGGAAAUCAUCACUAGUAUAAAAUUGCCCAUUUGUCCCAGUUCUAGAGGCUUAUUGGACAGGGUUCUGGAACCGGGACUAAAUCCCAAAACCUUUAGUCCCGGUUCGCUUACCAACCGGGACAUAAGGGUCUCCACGUGUCCGCUGUAGGGAGCCCAGGCAGGAGAGCCUUUAGUCCCGGUUGGUCAUACCAACCGGGACCAAAUGGCAUCCACGCGUCAGCAUCUGGCCGGAGUUGGGCUUUUUUUGAAUGGUGGGGGUGGGGGUUUUGGAGGGUUAAUUUAGUGAUUUCAUAUUGUGUUAGCUAGCUAAUAGAGAGAAAUGUCCUCUCUUUCUGCGUGCUUGGUCGACGCUAGCUACUAUACAUAUAGAGAGAACUUGACGCUAGCUAAUAAGAAAAUGAAGGAACCCAUUUACAAUUCCUAACAUCUUUUACAAUAUAACAUCUUUUACAAUCCCAAACAUCAUCUAUCUAAGAUCCAAUCACAAAUAAUGCACAUAGUAUUCUCCAUCUUUACGUAUGAAGUGGUCAAGAAAGAAUCCCGUCAAUUCCUCUUGAAUUGGUCGUAUGCGAUCAUGUGUAGGAGUUCAUCCCGCAUCUCCCAGAUCUAAUUUAAAGAAGGGUAUCAAUACAUGCAUAUAUAUGAAUAAAACUCAACACAAUUGAUGGUAAUAUAUAAAAUAAAAUUGUGAAUAUUAUUUACGUACUUGAUAUUGUUUCUCAGAUAAGCCCGCCCGCUCAGAGGUCGAGAGGCGAAUGAACUCGCAUACAUAGAUGCACAUAAAUGAGUCCCACCUUCCUAGUACAAGCACUUUACGAGAAUAGAGUUCAAUCAAACUGAUAAGCAAGCAUUAGUAAUGAUAUAUUGAUGAAAAUUUGAAUCAAUUAAAGAUGCGCGAAACUAGCUAGUACUACUUACUUUGGGAUGCGUAAAUUGCAACUCCUUGUUUAGACCGGGAGCCUUUGUGGUGAACUUCUUCCAAACCCUGCCAGACAAAGAAAAUGAUUACUUGAUAUCAGGAAAUUAACGAAAGUUGCAUGCCGAUAUGGUCCUUCUAUUGACUGAACUUACUUCUUGAGCAUUGCAGUCAUGUCCGCAUAAUACUCGGGAUCUAUACGUCUCGAGUCUAAGACAGUUACUUUUGCCCGGUCAACCUUAAUAGAUAGCAGAAUAAAGUGGUAAGUACGCACGCAUAUAUAACUCAUCAAUUACAUUACUCAACAUCGAGUAAGCGAAACCGAGUAUACAGAGAAGACAUCAACACUCACUUGAAGUAGUAAGGAAAGAGUAUUUCCUUUUUGUUUUGAUUUAUAAGGAACGACUUUAGCAAGUUCACCUCGGUCUCUUUGAUUGAUUUUCGUACCGACCAUUCAUUUACGGCGUUUGAGCUAUUGAACCCAACGUCGAAGAUUCCUCCUUCUUUUAAUUCGACGAUCUUCAAUCUGCAUAAUAUAUAUAGUAAGGAUAAUUAUGUAUAAAUGCAAUGAACGAGCGGAGCUAGAGACUUAACUAUAGAAGUAAUACUUACAAAUAGUAGGAAGUCAUGAGUUGUUUGUCGAGGGCCAAUUGAUUGUAUAUGUGAAAUAACUCCACAAAUUCAACAUGCAUCAUUGGAGCUCCAAUGAAUUCAUGUUAUGGUUUCACUGCCAUAUAGAUAGUGUCUUUCCCAGACUCCCUGCAGCUUUUUUCAUGUAAUACUCAUGCAAUUUGUGCAUCAUCGGUGUUAGAGGAGGAUGACCAGGUUUGACGAGAGGCUUCCCAUGCACGUAUUUAUAUUUUUCUUUUGUUACCUCAUCUGUUUCAAAAAUUACAUCAUCCUCCAAGUAAUCAUCAGUAUUUGUUCUGGGCACCAUCCCCGGAUGAUUAGCAACGACGAUAUCGCUAGACACCUUGAGCAAGGGGCACGAUUGCUUCUCCUGUUGGCCGAGCUGGGGAAUUCUUUUCCCACUUCUUCGUUUUGCUAAACUUGCAUCACUGCUAGCCGCCGGAGCGGCGGCGUCUCUCUUUCGCUUGAGAGGAGGAGGAGGAGUGCCCUGAUCACUCACUCGAGGAGGAGGAGGAGGAGGAGGUGGCGGAGUGCCCUGACUCUUUGGAGGAGGAGGAGGAGGAGGCGGGGUACCCUGAUCACUCGCCGGAGGAGGAGGCAGAGUGCCCUGAUCACUCGCCGAAGGAGGAGGAGGAGGAGGCGGAGUGCCCUAAUCAUUCGCCGGAGGAGGAGGGGGAGGAGGCGGAGUGCCUUGAUCACUCGCUCGAGGAGGAGUAGGUGGAGGCGUCCAGUUUGGGAGCUUGAUGUACUCCUUCUGCCAUAGACAUGUACUCCUCACAGCAUGAACCAACUUAUUCUCCCCUUCACCUGUAGGGUGGUCAAGCUAGAGCUCCUCAAAUCCCUCCAUUACUUCAUCCACCAUCACAAAUGCAAAGCCAUGUGGAAUCGAAAGGCAGUGAAAAGUUCCGUUGGGUUGAGGAGGUGCAACAAAGCCAAUAGCAGCCUUGAAAGUGAGGUUCCGGCAUUUCGUCAUAAGCUCGCAAUGUUGAGCCUCCGUGAUAGUAUCCACGGGGUAGCUAGGAGCCAUGAAGUCUGGAUGAACAAGCUCCGUGGAAGCCAUGCUGCUUCUCUGCUGAGAUGGCGGGGUAGCUUCUCGGGUAGCUUCGUGCCGCUGAGAUGGUUGUCCGGCAGCUCGCUGGCUCUCAAGUUCCUCUAGCUUUUGUAGUCUUGCAUUGAUCUUCUGCAUGUCGCUCAACUCCGCUUUCCUCUUUCUCUCUCAGGUUCUGUAACCGCCUGUAUUGGGAAACCCAACCUUCCAUGGAGCGGAGCCUGGUGUCCCUCGUGUUCGUCCACGGUGCUCAGCAUUCCCUAGGGCCUCAGUCAACUCGUCCUUCUCUUUGUCAGGAAUGAACGUCCCUUCCUGCGCUGCGGUGAUACACUUCUGAAGCUUAUUUAUGGGUAUUGAAGUUGCUCGUUCGUCCAACGACACUUCCCUGUUUCAGGGUCCAAUGUUUCCCCAACCCCGAAGAACCAAGUCCUUGAAUGGUCUGGCCAGUUAAAUGUCUGUGGUUCGACCCCUUUAGCAAUCAGGUCAUUCUCGGCUUUGCCCCACAACAGACGGGCUUUGAGGUAUCCACCUGACCCCGUGUGAUGGUGAUGCUACUUCUUUGCAGCAUUGUUCUUGUUUGUCUCUAACAUUUUCUUACUCUUGUCCGAUGUCUUGUAGGCCACAAAUGCAGGCCAGUGAUCUCUCAUCUUCUCAAAUCGGCUGAUGAAUUCUGGAGUCUUCCCUUUGUCGACAAACUUUGAUUUCAACUCUUUCUUCCACCUCAUGAGUAGAUAUUCCAUCUUCUUAAGAGCACACGCCUUGACCAGUGGCUCUAUAACUGGCUUAUUCGGAUCCUCCUCUGGCGGUAGGAUGAAAUUUUCCUUCAGAGCGAUCCAAAGAUCAUCUUUCUGCCCAUCGAUGACAUAAUCACCUUCAGGGACGUCGUCUCCCUUAGGCUUAUUCCAUUGCUUGAUGCUGAUCGGGAUGUUGUCCCUAACAAUAGCUUCGCACUGAGUAGAAAAUGUGUAAUUGGUCCGCUUGGGUAGAAUCGGUAGGCCAUCGUCCGCGAGUGUUGUGAUUGUGAACUUUUCAUCCUUGCGCAACCUUCUCUUCGGGCCUCGUCUCAUAACCGAUGUUUGGCUCGAUCCGAACUUUGCAACAGCUCCCUCCUCCAUUCAGUCACCGGAGCCGUCAUCAUGGUCUCCUUCUUCCUCCGGCAAUCGGUCACCGGAGCCAUCAUGAUCAUGUCCUUCCUCCUCCAUUGUUCGAUCACCGGAGCCGUUAUCCUCUCCUUCCAGACCAUCAGUGUCGUUGAGAUACCAAGAGAUCUCACCUGCGUCGCGGAUUAUCUCACCCAACAACUGUUCUUGUUCCAAGUUUCUUGGAUCCAUAGUUUCUGCAAAUAUUACAACAUGACAAUUAAUAUACAAACAUGAAUGUCCGACGUACGGACCGCCUCUCAUGAAUGUCAAACAACGGAUUAUAUACAAAAAACUUUCUUCUAUAAACAAAAAACGUUCUUCUCUGAACAAAAAAUUGUGUUUCGUGACUACUUGGAGCGGUGUGUUUAGUUCAUCCAUGAAGGAAUCUUCACAAGUCACAGAUUCUACAAUUUCAUCGCUAACAAGUCAGGGACUCAAAUUUAAACCGUGUCUCGUCACUACUUGGAGGGGUAUCACCAAAAUCGGUUAGCAAUAGAACAUGAUCCAACAAUGUUCAUUUUUUCCAAGACCCAUACCAAAGAUGUUGUACUAAAUGUAAUCUUAGCUACAUGAGUCCUAUUUUGGUACCAAUCAUAGAGUAGACAUGAGUCCUACUUUACUAUUUGUUUAUGUAUAAUCAUAAACUAGAAACAUCUAUCAUGAUAUUCUUAUACAUAAACAAAUGUACAUAGUGAAUAUUUGAAAAUGUACAAAAAUGCAUAGUGAAUAUUUGAAAAUGUACAAGCACGGCGACGACGGGCGAGGGGCGACGACGGGCUCGGGGUGGAGUGGGAGACGACGACGAUGGGCUCGGGGAGGAGGCGCGGGGCGGUGGCGACGGGCUCGGGGCGGCGGCGACAGGCUUGGGGGCGACGGCGACAGUGAUGGCCUCGGGGAGACGACGACGAUGAUGGGCUCGGGGGCGAUGGCGACGACGAUGGGCUCGGGGCGACGACGGGCUCGGGGCGACGACGAUGGUGACGGGCUCGGGGGCGACGGUGAGGGCGACGACGAUGGGCUCGGGGGCGACCACGACGACGGGCUCGGGACAACGACGACGGCGACGGGCUCGGGAGCGACGGCGAGGGCGAUGGGCUCAAGGCGACGACGGGCUCGGGAGCGACGGCGACGGCGAUGACAGGCUCAUGGAGGAGGCAUGGGUCGGCGGCGACGGGCUCAAGGCGAUGACUAGGAUGGGCUUGGGGGCGACGGAGACGACGAGGAGAGAAGAGAACGGAGGAAAUGGGAGUUGGUGGAAAUUUCGAUAAGUCCCACCAUAUAUGCGAACACCUUUGGUUUCGGUUGGUGGCAGAAACUGGGAAAACAAUGCCUCCCUUUCGUCCCGGUUGGAGCCACCAACCGGGACUAACGGUCAAUUUUCAGCAGUCCAAAAGGGCGGGAAGAAGAGACCUUUAGUAUUGGUUGGUGGCUCCAACCGAGACGAAAGGGUGGUAUUGGUCCCUGUUGAAGCCACCAACCGGGACCAAAGCGUGGUGCUGCCCGGGGCCAAAUUUUUAGUCCCACCUCGCUAGCCGAGAGAGCUCGCGAGUGUUUAUAAGCGUUGUUGCACACACCCUGUCGAGAUCCUCUCAACUGCAAGCUUCCGGGCCUAAUUUGUCACUGCGUGUGGGCCUAUUGGGCCUUCAGCGGGCCUGAAUCCUAACCCAACCAACUGGUUGGGUUUCUAGUCGUAUUCAGGCCGUGGUGGCCGAGUAGGUGGCAUUUUUUUUUUAAAACUAGUUUUUUGUUUUGUCUUUUACUUUAUUUUGUUCCUACUUACUGUUUUCCAGUGAUUCUUUGUUGCUUUGAGGUCAUAAAAUUUUUCAAAAUGCACCAUUCAAAGCCACAUCAUCAAUUUUCAACAAUUUCUAACUUCAUUUGAUAUUUUUCAUGCAUUUACUGAUUUGUUUUGAACUACAUGACCCUUAAAUUGAAAAGCACUACAAAUGAACUCUGAAAAGGUUGAAAGUUGGCAUGGUACAUCAUUUCACCUACAUAGCAUGUGCCAAACAAUUGAGAGGGUUACGACAAAAACUGGAUGCACUUCGUGCACAAAAGGGACAAUCUCUUUCGAAGUAUGAGGGUUUCGUACGAAAACUCUUCUGUUACAAAGGGAUUUCAUUUUUUUGAACUUAUUUGAACUCCAGACUUUUUGUGUGUUCAAAAUGCACCAUUCAAAGCCACAUCAUCAAUUUUCAACAAAUUCUGACUUCGUUUGGUAUUUUUCAUGCAUUUAGUGAUUUUUUUGAGCUAAAUGACCAUGAAAUUGAAAAGCACUACAAAUGAACUCUGAAAAGGUUGAAAGUUGGCAUGGUAUCAUCAUUUCACCCACAUAGCAUGUGGUAAAAAUUUGAGAGGGUUACGGCAAAAACUGGAUGCACUUCGUGUACAAAAUGGACAAUUUCUUUCGAAGUACUAGGGGUUCAUACGAAAACUCAUCUGUUAUAAAGGGAUUUCAGUUUUUUGAACUUAUUUGAACUCCAGACUUUUUGUGUGUUCAAAAUGCACCAUUCAAAGCCACGUCAUCAAUUUUCAACAAUUUAUGACUUCAUUUGAUAUUUUUCAUGCAUUUACUGAUUUUUGAGCUAAAUGACCAUGAAAUUGAAAAGCACUAUAAAUAAACUCUGAAAAGGUUGAAAGUUGGCAUGGUAUCAUCAUUUCACCCACUAGCAUGUGCCAAACAAUUGAGAGGGUUACGACAAAAACUGGAUGCACUUCGUGCACAAAAGGGACAAUCUCUUUCGAAGUAUGAGGGUUCGUGCUAAAAAGUUGAGAGAGUUACGACAAAAAUUGGAUGUAUUCCGUGUACAAAACGGACAAUCUCUUUCGAAGUAUGAGGGUUUCAUACGUAAACUCAUCUAUUACAAAGGAAAUUCAUUUCUGUGAACUUAUUUGAGCUCCAGACUUUUUAUGUGUUCCAAAUGCACCAUUCAAAGUCGCAUCAUCAAUUUUCAACAAUUUCUGACUUCAUUUGGUAUUUUUCAUGCAUUUAGUGAUUUUUUGAGCUAAAUGACCAUGAAAUUGAAAAGCACUACAAAUGAACUCUGAAAAGGUUGAAAGUUGGCAUGAUAUCAUAUUUUUUCGUAUACAAAUGAACUCUGAAAAGGUUGAAAGUUGAAAAUAUGACCGAUGCCCCCAUGGGUCCAGGUUCGUGAGUGAACCGGGACUAAUGGGAUUUUAUCAAGUGGACCAAAACCCUUUUUUCUACUAGUGCACCUCCAUGCAACUACACUGUCAAGGACCGAGACUACAACAUGGGAUACUAUCUUGCUGAUGUCAUAUAUCCUCAAUGGACUGCAUUUGUGAAGACCAUAUCUGAAUUAUAUGAUAGAAAACAAAAGCAUUUCGUAAUAAUGGAGAAAACAACUAGGAAGGAUGCGGAGACCACAUUUGAAGUGCUGCAAGCGGAUUGAAAAAUUGUUUGUGAGGCCGUAAUAAUGUGAGAAUCAUAAACUUUAUGUAGUUGUUGACAUGUUAUGUUAUUUUACAGAAUAUAGUCAUUAAGGUUGAGGAUGAUUGAUGUUGACAUAGUUAGAUACAUCGUUGACACACUAACACCUCGAGAGACAACUAGAAUGUGUGCGACACAAAUAAAUGGCCACGUACUAUUGUUUCGUUGUACAUAUGAUUUAACUAAAGAGAAUAUAAUGUUACAUCACGUUUCAAUUUACUUAUGCUCAAAUCUUGAGAAAUCGAAGAAUUAGGAGAUGAAGAUUACUGUACGUCAAAACCAACGGCAGUAUCAUUCGUUGCAUGCAGGGUCUAUAGCAGGCAAAUUCAGGCAUAAUGCAUGUUACAUGCCGCAAGACAGAACAACAAGGACCAAGCAAUUCGGUUUUGGCUUCAUGAACCAAUAAAAGCAAAGGUGGUGUCCAAGAAUUUUUCUUUUGAUGCACUAGUACAACGUUGGUCCAUUACACGAGUCAUCCGACUGAUUUGGUGUAGGAUCAACCUGGUCGAACACCGUGGAUUGAUCGGUUGGAUCCCGUCCGCGGGGUUCGCAGUUUGCACUUUAGCGUGGCUCAUUUUGAUUCCCGUCUUAGAAUGUAUAGAGUAUUAUCAUAGUAAUAAAACCACCGUGUCCUUUUUCGAAUUCAGAACUCAUAAAUAGAGAGAGUCACGGUUACACACACAGUUGGCAUAUUUUAGUUAAAUUUGCUAUGAUCGGAUGUUAAACAAAGUUUUCUAAGUUGCCACAUAAUCACAAACUAGCCACAAGCAGUGUGGAAAAACCUGAACCACAAAAAAACUCGUUUUUUCCUCGGAAUCCCGGUGAAAAACAUCAACCUCGAGAUAGCCCAAAGUAUCCUCGAAAUCCGAGUGCACAAGAUAUUUCGUAAAAGGUAAAAUAAAUUCAGAAAGGUCGUCCAGCGUGACGACAAAACCGAUAGGAGUCACGUAUCUCGUUCUCAGGGUACGAUCGGAUGAGCAAGACGUCGGGUUGACUGAGACCCUGGGUGACCAAAGGACGUUGUACAUCACUCAGUUUGAACCAACACUCAUGAGAAGCAUUGGCCCGUGGUUGAUUAAUUAUCCACGGAUUAAUUACUCCCGAUUUGGGUUCAUUAAUUAUUAGGCAAAUGUAGAAUCAAAGUUGGGCCCUAUCGAAAGAGUUUUAAACUAAGACGAAUUACCAAGGGUCCCCACAACAACCCCAAGCAUGUUAGGGACGCUUAAUAUGGAAACCACCGGUACACAAUUAACUAGGACGGCAAAGGUGAAUAAAACACCAAGCCAAAAGACCAAGACUUUCAACUUUUAUCAAGUAUAUAGGUGCAUUAAAGUAAAUAGGAACAAUAUUGUGAUAUAUCAAGGAAUCCAUGUUGGAAAGCAAGUUGCACCUGCAACUAGGAGCGCUGUAAUAAGGGGCUGAGCAAGCGAUAACAUAGCCAAACAAUGGUUUUCUCCGAUGUGGAGGGUUAGAGGUUUUUCAUGGCAAUGUUUGGAGGAUUGACAUUCAGGUGGUAGGUAACGAGACAUAACGACAGAAGCGAGACAACUAGCAUAGCAAUGAUAGAAGUGGUAUCCAGGGAAAUGUUCAUCUUGUGUGAGAUCCCGCUUGGAAGAAGAAGGAAUCUGUGAAGUAGAUGAACCAACAUAGUCGAUCAAAUCCUCACACUCCGAAGCGGUUUCGGAACUCUAUCGAGAAGAAACAAUCCCGAAAUAAAUAAUCAACACACUAUAAACACCACAACAUAUUCAUGACAUGAUGCGCAAUCAAAUAUGAUGUAUGUACAUUUAAUUAUGCAUGUCAUGACAAAGCCGAACAAUCAACUUCUUUAUAUUAACUGAAGCUCAAUAUGCAAUGAGUGACAUAUUGACGAAACUCCACAUUCGUAUAUUUCGUUCACUCUCGUUUAAUUACAUGGCAAGUUUAAAUGUUGCUGACAUGGCAAGAUGUGAAGCAUGAACAACUACAUCAUCUAGGCAUUUUAAAUGAGGCCGGAAACAACAAAUAACAAUUUCGGAAAGUCCCCCUAUGUAAUUUUUGAAUUUGCUAUAGAUCUGCCUAGAACACAAUUUUAGAGUUGUCAAGGAGCAAAAUAAAUGCCACGAUGUUAUUCUACACAUUUUUCUAGUCAAGUUGCAUAUAUAAAACAAUUUAAUUGGAGCUAAGGUUAAUUAGUGAUGGAAUAAACCGCUUUAACAUGGCAAUGCGGCAAAUUGAUCGAACAAUAAGUUAAAAAAAUUUAAACAUGUGUGAAAUAUGGAUAUUAUUAAUCUACAGAUAAUUCUAAACAUUUCACACACACACACACACACAUAUAUAUAUAUCCUUUUGAUUCAAGGCAUGGUUUAUUAGUUAUUAACAUUUUAAAAAACAAGGCAUUUUUUGUAACAUGCAUGUCUAUAAUAUUGGCAAAAUCAUAGCAGGAAAAAAACAAUGAAUGGGCUGAAUUGCAGCAAAGUACAACGGCCUAGGAGGAUUCAACCCAAGUGCCUCUGUGUGCAUGGGUGAAAAAAUGAAAAAGAAUGAAUGGCAGAAUAAUUGGGAAGGCUGGGACUCGAACCAACGACUUCCUAUAUGGAAAUCAAUGGAGCACUGAAUCGAAGUUGUGUUUGUGUCAAACAAUGGGCGUUGCACAAUUUAAACUAAACCGAAGGCCGAGGCUUAGUUUUCCUUGAACUCACAAGGAUCUCACCAUUAUAGUCAGCGGCAAACAGGACGCUGACGGAAGUUGCGGACGGCGGCAAGGCUCGCGGAUGAGGUCCUGGGCACGAAGAUUGACGGGGAUCAACGGAUCCGGUCCGUGGCAUGGACGAAGAAGCUGUAGGGUGAUAACCCACAAGUAUAGGGGAUCACAACAAUUUUGGAGGGUAGAAUAUUCAACUCAAAUUUAUUGAUUCGACACAAGGGGAAGCCAAAGAAUAUUCUCGAGUAUUAGCAGUUGAGUUGUCAAUUCAACCACACCUGAAAGACUUAGUAUCUUCAGCAAAGUUUUAGUAGCAAAGUAGCAUGAUAGUAACAUUAGCAACGGUAACAGUAGCAGCAGUGACAGCAGUAGAGGUAACAGUAGCAGCAGUGACAGCAGUAGCGGUAACAGUAGCAAGGACCAGUAGGAAAAAGUCGUAGGCAUUGGAUCGGUGAUGGAUAAUUAUGCCGGAUGACAUUCAUCAUGUAUCAGUUAUUGACGGGGAUAUAGCCCCCGGGUAGGGUCAUAGGUCUGACCAAUACGUCCUACCCAAUGGCACCUCAUUAUUAGUUUAAGGACUACAAGGGAAAUUCCUACUGGAUCGUGACAAUAUCUAAUCCACUCGGAUGACAGUCAACCACUCGGCCGUAUGACUCACUCGGUCAUGCAAAUACCAACAGUCGGCAAGACAUCUGUAGUGGGCUGACAUUAUGGCAUCAAUGCCCCAUCUUGUAACAUAAGAGGUGAGGAGGUGGCGCACUCUAUAUAAGCCACCCCCCUCCACAUAGCUAGGGACAUCUUCUUCUUCUCCUCCUUCGGGCUCAUUCUUUCCCCCGAGCUCUGGCUCUCUCUCUACACCAUGUAACUCAUGUCCAUGAUGGAUAAAACAAAGCCUCUCCGGAGCACGAGACGUAGGGUUGUUAUCUCCACUGUGAGAGGCCUGAACUCGCUAAAACCACCGUGUCACCCAUGUGCAUCUUGAUAGAUCAUGCUCCGUUAUCCUACCCUCUUUCUAUUGUCGGAAUCGUUACCACGACAUUUGGCGCCCACCGUGGGGCGUGGCGUCUAUCGAGCCAUGAUGCAUAUGGUUAUUUCUUCAGCCACCGGCGGUAGAUCGAUUCCCGCUGGUGCCCUCUAUUCAGUUUCAUCUUCAUGAUUUAACACCUUUGUUUUGUACUGUUCAUCUCCAAGACAAACGAAACAUCAGGGAAACAAACAUCCAUUCAAGCAUAUACAAGAAGAAUCAUCGAACUUCAGCAAGAGCGGCGUGAGAUCAAGAUCGUGACAUAAUCUAAUCCACUCGGAUGACAGUCAACUACUCGGCCGUAUGACUCACUCGGUCAUGCAAAUACCAACAGUCGGCAAGACAUCUGUAGUGGGCUGAGAUUAUUGCAUCAAUGCCCCAUCGCAAGACAUCUGUAGUGGGCUGAAAUUAUGGCAUCAAUGCCCCAUCUUGUAACAUAAGAGGUGAGGAGGUGGCGCACUCUAUAUAAGCCACCCCCCCUCCACAUAGCUAGGGACAUCUUCUUCUUCUCCUCCUUCAGGCUCAUUCUUUCCCCCGAGCUCUGGCUCUCUCUCUACACCAUGUAACUCAUGUCCAUGACGGAUAAAACAAAGCCUCUCCGGAGCACGAGACGUAGGGUUGUUAUCUCCACUGUGAGAGGCCUGAACUCGCUAAAACCACUGUGUCACCCAUGUGCAUCUUGAUAGAUCAUGCUCCAUUAUCCUACCCUCUUUCUAUUGUCGGAAUCGUUACCACGACAUUUGGCGCCCACCGUGGGGCGUGGCGUCUAUCGAGCCAUGAUGCAUAUGGUUAUUUCUUCAGCCACCGGCGGUAGAUCGAUUCCCGCUGGUGCCCUCUAUUCAGUUUCAUCUUCAUGAUUUAACACCUUUGUUUUGUACUGUUCAUCUCCAAGACAAACGAAACAUCAGGGAAACAAACAUCCAUUCAAGCAUAUACAAGAAGAAUCAUCGAACUUCAGCAAGAGCGGCGUGAGAUCAGGAAGCCGAUCACGUCUCCACACACGGCCUUCGACACCAUUCGCCACGUCGUCGACUCCGGUCUCGUGUUCUCGGCCACUCGACAACGACCUCCGUGGUGCAGGCACAGGCUCGACAUGGAGCAGGCUCCGAGCUCUGCACCAAGCAUAGACUGGUGCUAUUCCGGGAGGAGCGGACCGUGGACGAUCGGCUGCAGCAGCACGGGGGCGCCGUCGUGGAGUGGAAGCGCACCAAGAGGUCGCGCCACCAGACGCCGCCGGUGGCCUGCUCCUCGGCAUCCUCCUCCGAGAGCACCACCACCGAGGAGGAGGACAUGGCCCACUGCCUCAUCCUCCUCGCCCAGGGCGCCGCGCCGCCCGUCGACUCGAGGCCGCCGCCACCCGCCCUCGCCACGGUGCCGCAUGAGGCUCGGCAGGGGACGCCGUCGCUUCCUCCGCCCGGCCCUCUGCCGGCGCCGGCGGCCAAGACGGAGAGGUACACCAGCCGCAAGUACACGGAGGAGGCCACCACCGCGGACGGCGUCAGGGCCGGCUUCUACGUGUACGAGUGCAAGACCUGCAACAAGUGCUUCCCCACCUUCCAAUCCCUCGGCGGCCACCGCGCCAGCCACAAGAAGCCACACCUCGCCGGCGCCGGCGCCGGCGCCGACGACGACAGCCCCGCAAACGCCACAACUGUCGCCAUCGCCAAGCUGUCCAAGCCGCCGGCGAUGAAGACAACGUCGCCACCGCUGACGCAGAUGACGACAGCAUCGCCGCCUCCGCCUCCGCCGCCUCAGGUCGACGUCGCCCCGGACGUGACCACCGUGCUGAGCCUCAACAACGGCGACAGCGCCGUUUGCAACGCUAUCAAUACCAGGUAGCCACCUCCUCGAGCCAUAACUGCCUGCAGGAAAUAAGGAAAUCGGAGGACGGCUCCCACCAGUGGGAAACUCCGCUGACACCGCUUUGUUGAGGUAUAAUCGCCUCAUUAAGUGCCAUCAAUUAAACAUUUUUUGCAUGAGUUAACUGUGCAUGCAUGCAUGCAUAACCACCCGUCAUCAUGGGUAUGCCUUAAUUAUCCGUCAUCAUGCAUAACCAGAUUAUGUGUGGUCCGUAAUCCCAAAAAUAGAAUCGAACAGAAACAAAAAUAUUUGUAGCUAUGCUUGCUACUAACUUACAUGACACCGCUUUGUCGAGAUGAAUUUUGCAUACAGAUGACCAACAUGCAGUGACUCGGUCGUCCUACAUGCUGUCGCUCGGUCGAACACGUCGUCAUCACUCGGUCGCUCUGCGCACCGUCGCUCAGUCGGACACGCGUCGUCAGCACUCGACCGCCCCGUGCGCCUCACUCAGUCGGACGCGUGGUCAUCACUCGGCGGCCCUACAUAUCGUCGCUCGGACGGACGCGUCGUCAUCACUCGGCCGCUCUGCGCACCGUCGCUUAGUCGGACACGCAUCGUCCGCACUCGGCCGCCCCACGCGUCGUCACUCAGUCGGACGCGUCGUCAUCACUCGGCCGCCCUGCAUGCUGUCACUCAGUCGGACACGUCGUCAGCGCUCGGCCGCCCUGCGCGCCGUCCCUCACUCGGAUCCGUCGUCAGCGCUCGGCAGCUUCACAUGUCGUCACUCGGCUGGAGGCUCCUUCGUCACCUGGAUGCUCUGCGCAUCGUCACUCGGCCGCCCCGCGUGUCGCCACUCAGCUAGACGCGUCUUCAUCGCUUGACCACCCAACACGUCGCCACUCAGCCGGACGUGUCUACUUCGCUCGACCGCCCCGCGCGUCGUCAGCACUCGACCGCCCCGUGCUCCGUCACUCAGUCGGACGCGUGGUCAUCACUCGGCGGCCCUACAUAUCGUCGCUCGGACGGACGCGUCGUCAUCACUCGGCCGCCCUGCAUGCUGUCACUCAGUCGGACACGUCGUCAGCGCUCGGCCGCCCUGCGCGCCGUCCCUCACUCGGAUCCGUCGUCAGCGCUCGGCAGCUUCACAUGUCGUCACUCGGCUGGAGGCUCCUUCGUCACCUGGAUGCUCUGCGCAUCGUCACUCGGCCGCCCCGCGUGUCGCCACUCAGCUAGACGCGUCUUCAUCGCUUGACCACCCAACACGUCGCCACUCAGCCGGACGUGUCUACUUCGCUCGACCGCCCCGCGCGUCGUCAGCACUCGACCGCCCCGUGCUCCGUCACUCAGUCGGACGCGUGGUCAUCACUCGGCGGCCCUACAUAUCGUCGCUCGGACGGACGCGUCGUCAUCACUCGGCCGCUCUGCGCACCGUCGCUCAGUCGGACACGCAUCGUCCGCACUCGGCCGCCCCACGCGUCGUCACUCAGUCGGACGCGUCGUCAUCACUCGGCCGCCCUGCAUGCUGUCACUCAGUCGGACGCGUCGUCAGCGCUCGGCCACCCUGCGCGUCGUCCCUCACUCGGAUCCGUCGUCAGCACUCGGCAGCUUCACGUGUCGUCACUCGGCUGGAGGCUCCUUCGUCACCUGGAUGCUCUGCGCGUCGUCACUCGGCCGCCCCGCGUGUCGCCACUCAGCUAGACGCGUCUUCAUCGCUUGACCGCCCAACACGUUGCCACUCAGCCGGACGUGUCUACUUCGCUCGACCGCCCGGCGCGUCGUCACUCAGCUAAGUCAUUUUUCACAGACUGCAUUCUAUUAAAUAAUCGUUUCUACAUUACCGAGUGUCGAGGAAGUCGCACAUGACGUUUACUCGAAGGCCACGCCACUGAGUGUACCUCUGCACUCGGUUGUUUAUUUUUAUGUGGGAACACUUCACUUCCGCUUCAUUUGGGUCCAGUACUCAAACGAGUUCAGCCGGAUCCUUCACUCUUUUAGACUCUUGCUGGUUCCGAACCAGCAAUCACGUGGCACACCCAGCGGGUAUCUAUGGGUGCAAUUUAGACAAACUAUUUCAGAAAAGAUCAUAUUACUUUGAUAAUUUUUUAUGCUAGCUUGUGCUAUUUUUCAUACACAGGUUACUCGACGCAUCCGUGCGCCAUCCUCGUCGCUGCUCAGGCUCAGUCACCGCAACGAUCAUUCAUGUGUUUUCACGUGUUCGGAAGCCCUUUCAAUGGCGUAGUGGACACGGCCGCCCCGCGUGCCGUCGGUGGGUCGGACGCCUCCUCGACAUACAUCACUUGGCCGCCGCGCGCGUUGCCACCCAGCCAGAAUCGUCUACCUCACUCGGAUGACAUGCGCAUCGCCACUCCGUGUGGCACGUCUUCAUCAUUCGGCUGCCCCGUGUGCCACCGCUCAGCUUAGCUGCGACUCUGUAUCGCCUAAGUUAAAAACUACUCCGAGUGCGGACAUGCUUCACACUCGGGGGCUUAGCUGCGACUCCGUAUCGCCUAAGUUAAAAACAACUCUCAGUGCGGACAUGCUCCGCACUCGGGGGGGCUUAGCUGCAACUCCAUAUCGCCUAAGUUAAAAACUACUCCGAGUGCGGACAUGCUUCACACUCGGGGGCUUAGCUGCGACUCCGUAUCACCUAAGUUAAAAACAACUCUGAGUGCGUACAUGCUCCGCACUCGGCAGCUUAGCUGCGACUCCGUAUCGCCUAAGUUAAAAACUACUCCGAGUGCGGACAUGCUUCACACUCGGGGGCUUAGCUGCGACUCCGUAUUGCCUGAGUUAAAAACAACUCUGAAUACGGACAUGCUCCGCACUCGGGGGGCUUAGCUGCGACUCCGUAUCGCCUAAGUUAAAAACUACUCCGAGUGCGGACAUGCUUCACACUCGGGGGCUUAGCUGCGACUCCGUAUUGCCUGAGUUAAAAACAACUCUGAAUACGGACAUGCUCCGCACUCGGGGGGCUUAGCUGCGACUCCGUAUCGCCUAAGUUAAAAACUACUCCGAGUGCGGACAUGCUUCACACUCGGGGGCUUAGCUGCGACUCCGUAUUGCCUGAGUUAAAAACAACUCUGAAUACGGACAUGCUCCGCACUCGGGGGGCUUAGCUGCGACUCCGUAUCGCCUAAGUUAAAAACUACUCCGAGUGCGGACAUGCUUCACACUCGGGGGCUUAGCUGCGACUCCGUAUCGCCUAAGUUAAAAACAACUCUCAGUGCGGACAUGCUCCGCACUCGGGGGGGCUUAGCUGCAACUCCAUAUCGCCUAAGUUAAAAACUACUCCGAGUGCGGACAUGCUUCACACUCGGGGACUUAGCUGCGACUCCGUGUCGCCUAAGUUAAAAAACAACUCUGAGUGCGGACAUGCUCCGCACUCGGCGGCUUAGCUGCGACUCCGUAUCGCCUAAGUUAAAAACUACUCCGAGUGUGGACAUGCUUCACACUCGGGGGCUANNNNNNNNNNNNNNNNNNNNNNNNNNNNNNNNNNNNNNNNNNNNNNNNNNNNNNNNNNNNNNNNNNNNNNNNNNNNNNNNNNNNNNNNNNNNNNNNNNNNNNNNNNNNNNNNNNNNNNNNNNNNNNNNNNNNNNNNNNNNNNNNNNNNNNNNNNNNNNNNNNNNNNNNNNNNNNNNNNNNNNNNNNNNNNNNNNNNNNNNNNNNNNNNNNNNNNNNNNNUGACGGGGAUAUAGCCCCCGGGUAGGGUCAUAGGUCUGACCAAUAGGUCCUACCCAAGGGCACCUCAUUAUUAGUUUAAGGACUACAAGGGAAAUUCCUACUGGGUCGUGACAAUAUCUAAUCCACUGAGAUGACAGUCAACCACUCGGCCGUAUGACUCACUCGGUCAUGCAAAUACCAACAGUCGGCAAGACAUCUGUAGUGGGCUGAAAUUAUGGCAUCAAUGCCCCAUCUUGUAACAUAAGAGGUGAGGAGGUGGCACACUCUAUAUAAGCCACCCCCCUCCACAUAGCUAGGGACAUCUUCUUCUUCUCCUCCUUCAGGCUCAUUCUUUCCCCCGAGCUCUGGCUCUCUCUCUACACCAUGUAACUCAUGUCCAUGACGGAUAAAACAAAGCCUCUCCGGAGCACGAGACGCAGGGUUGUUAUCUCCACUAUGAGAGGCCUGAACUCGCUGAAACCACCGUGUCACCCAUGUGCAUCUUGAUAGAUCAUGCUCCGUUAUCCUACCCUCUUUCUAUUGUCGGAAUCUUUACCACGACAAUUAUAACAUGGGGUGAUUUGUAACUAGCUCCAGUUCGUCAAUGUAAUGUAGGCAUGUAUUCCACAUAUAGUCAUACGUGCUUAUGGAAAAUAACUUACAUGACAUCUAUUGUCCAUCCCUCCCGUGGCAGCGGGGUCCUAAUGGAAACUAAGGGAUAUUAAGGUUCUCCUUUUAAUAGAGAACCGGAACAAAGCAUUAGCACUUAGUGAAUACAUGAACUCCUCAUACUAUGGUCAUCUCCGGGAGUGGUUCCGGCUAUUGUCACUCCGGGGUUGCCGGGUCAUGACACAUAGUAGGUGACUACAACUUGCAAGAUAGGAUGAAGAACACACAUAUAUUGAUGAAAACAUAAUAGGUUCAGAUCUGAAAUCAUGGCACUCGGGCCCUAGUGACAAGCAUUAAGCAUGGCAAAGUAGUAGCAACGUCAAUCUCAGAACAUAGUGGAUACUAGGGACCAAACCCUAUCAAAACUAACUCGAUUGCAUGAUAGAUCUCAUCCAACCCAUCACCGUCCAGCAAGCCUACGAUGAGCUUACUCACGAACGGUGAAGAGCAUCAUGGAAUUGGCGAUGAAGGAUGGUUGGUGAUGACGACGGCGACGAUUUCCCUCUCCGGAGCCCAGAACGGACUCCAGAUCUGCCCUCGAGAGGAAGAACAGGUGGUGGCGGCGGCGUCGUGUCGUAAAACGCAAUGAACUCUUCUCUCCUAAUUUUUUCUGGGCGACAGAGACUAUAUAGAGCUGGAGUUGGAGGCGGCGGAGCCACGAGGUCCUCACAAGCCUGCCAGGCGCGGCUAGGGGGGCCACGCCUCCUAGGCUUGUGGGCUCCUCGCUCCGUCCCUCCAGGUAAUUCUUGCGCCAGUAUUUUUAUAUAUUCCACAAAAAAUCCUCGUAAACUUCGAGGUCAUUCCGAGAACUUUUAUUUCUACGUAAAAACAACACCAUGGCAACUCUGCUGAAAACAGUGUUAGUCCGGGUUAGUUCCAUUCAAAUCAUGCAAAUUAGAGUCCAAAACAAGGGCAAAAGAGUUUGGAAAAGUAGAUACGAUGGAGACGUAUAAACUCCCCAAGCUUAAAGGCUUGCUUGUCCUCAAGUAAUUCAGUUGACAAACUGAAAGAGACAAAAGAAAAACUUUUACGAGCUCUGUUUGAUCUUGUUGUUGUAAUUAUGUCUAACUCAUAUUCAGAUUUUUAGCAAGAUCAUAAGCUAACCACAUAAGCAAUGACAUUUAGGUCUCAUGUAAACUCAUAUCAAUGGCAAAAUCAACUAGCGAGCAAUAAUAAUAAGUUUCAAACAUCAACACUUCAAUCAAAACAAGCAUGAAGCAAUAUGAACAGAUGGUAUCUCACUAGCUCUUUCUGAGACCGCAAACAUAAAUGCAGAGCACCUUCAAAGACCAAAGGCUGACUGAACAUUGUAAUUCAUGGCAAAGAAGAUCCAGUCACAGUCAUACUCAAUAACAAUUAAUAGCAAAGCAUAAAAAUGGCGGAGGUGCUCUCUAACUGGUGCUUUUAUAAGGAGAGGAUGACUCAACAGAAAUGUAAAUAGAUAGGCCCUUCGCAGAGGGAAGCAUUGAUUUGCAGAGGUGCCAGAGCUCAAGCUUUUAAAACAGAGAUAAAUAAUUUUGGGUGGCAUGCUUUCAUUGUCAACGCGAUGACCAAGAGUUUUCACCAUCUUCCAUGCUACACAUAUUAUAGGCAGUUCCCAAACAGAGAAGUAAAGUUUUGACUCCCCGACCAUCGAUCAAUCACACUCCACGACUAGCCGAAUCCUCGGGUGCCGUCCAUACCAACAACAAUCCAGGGGGAAUUUUGUUUGCAAUUAUCUUUUUGAUUUGAGCAUGGAACUGGGCAUUCCAAUUACUGGCCCCUUUCUCGCGAAUGAUAGUGAAUAAACACAUAUCGAGGAUAAAACGCCUAGCAUGGAAGAUACUGACUGCCCCUUGUCACCACAUGAGCGGUUCGGGCAUGCAAAACAGAUUAUUACUUGAAGGUUUAGAGAGUGGCACAUGCAAAUUUACUUGGAACGGCAGGUAGAUACCGCAUAUAGGUAGGUAUGGUGGACUCAUAUGGAACAACUUUGGGUUUAUGGAAGUGGAUGCACAAGCAGUAUUCCCGCUUAGUACAAGUGAAGGCUAGCAAAGGAUUGGGAAGCAACCAACUAGAGAGCGACAACAGUCAUCAAUAUGCAUUGAAAUUAACCAACAUUGAGUGCAAGAAUGAGUAGGAUAUAGAUCACCAUAAACAUGAAUAUCAUAGAGGCUAUGUUGAUUUUGUUUCAACUAUAUGCGUGAACAUGUGCCAAGUCAAGCCACUUGAAUCAUUCAAAGGAGGAUACCAUCCUAUCAUACUACAUCAUAAUCAUCUUGAAAUUCAUGUUGGCAUCCAAGAAAAACCAUUAUAAGCUCCUAGCUAAUUAAGCAUGGCAUCAGAAACUAUGAUCUCUAAGUUGUCAUUGAAAACAUGUUUCUCUCAUAACAAAGCUGAAUUAGGAACGACGAGCUAGUCAUAUUUACAAAAACAAAAUAAAUUGAGUUUAUUCCAGCUUUUCCAGGCUCAGUCACUUCAUCAUAUAUCGUCAUUAUCACCUUUCACUUGCAUGACCGAAUGAUGUGAAUAAUAAUGAGAGUGUUCGUGUAGUGGACUAAGCUCGAAUCUACAAGCAAACACAGAGGAGAAGACAAAGUAAUAUGGCUCUUUGACGGAUAAACAUAUAUGCAUGUGAGAGCCACUAAACAUUGUACCAUGGUCUUCUACCUUGACCCAAAGAAAAAUAAAACUAUUUACACGGGAAAGCUCCCAACAAGCAAAAGAAGAACGGGAAAUAUUUUUGGGUUUUCUUUUUAAACACCACUAAGCAAGCAGGAAAGUAAACUUACAACUAAUUUUUUUUGUUUUUCUCAAACUAGACAAACACACGAGAAGAAAGCGAGAAAAAGAAAUAAACUAGCAUGGAUGAUAUAGUGGCAAGGUGUGAACACCGACUAUCAAAGUGAAAGUGUGAGCAUGAAUAUAAAGUCGGUGAGAAACACGUACUCCCCCAAGCUUAGGCUUUUGGCCUAAGUUGGUCUACUCCCAUGGAGGGAAAUAACCGUCUCCGGAGUGUACUGAGGGUGCCACUGCUGGGUGAGCUCCUCUGGCUCCCACUGAUAAACCGGCGUCUGGUACUCGACUCGUAGCUCGGGCACGGGCGCCUGUGGUGGCGCUAUGCCCCAAUAUGUGUAGAUGUCCGAGGGCAUAAUAAUGUACCUCCCUAGAUGAAGAUUGAAGAAAUAAGGAGCAGGCAAAGUAAUAGUCUCACGAGUACCCUGGCUAAAUACCAGAUUAUAAAUCAUCCUCUUAUUUAUAUCUUUGUCAAGAAAGUCAUGGCGAACCAUGCUAUCAUAAUCUAGAUAUCUCUCAGGAAGAAGCAUCUCUUCUACCUCGUGCAGUCUAAUAGGUAUCUCAAAAUGUCUAGCAAGACGGGUAGCAUAGAUACCUCCAUAAACAACGCCUUUAGUACGGUUCGUGUUCAACCGUUGAGCCAUUAUAGCGUCCAAGCUAUAAGUUUUAUCAUUAUAAAGGGCUUCGCGCAAAACCGCAAGAUCUGGGGAGCUAAGAGCCCCAGCUUUCCCAUGGCAAUCAAACAUUUUCCCACAAAUAAUGAGAAAUACCGAAGCACGGGAAAAUGUAUGCUAGCAACUCUAGCGCAAGAUACUCAUCUCUCCUCUCCUACAACAAUAGUAUCAAUGAAAGCCUCCAAGUCCCAUGGACGAGGUUCAUGAAUAUCCCCAACAUAAGGUAAUUUGCAAACAUUGCAAAAAUCCUGAAGUGUCAUGCGCUGGGGGAUAUCAUAUAACUUGAACUCAACCAUAGGAGGACUCUUCCUUGGAUAGAAAUUAAAACUUUGCACAAAAAUAUUAGUGAGGAGGAGGUAUUGUGGACACUUAUCUAAGGGACGCAAAAAGCAGAAAACGGGAAAAACUAAAGCUAAAUUUAUCAUUUUUCUUCUAAACAACAGAAAAUGAAAGCUCGGAACAGAAGGUUAUGACCCCUAGAUUCAUCCAUCUCAUGGUCAUCAAAAGAAAUCCGUCAAUGAGGUUGAUCAAGUCUCCUUGACAAAAAAAAUCGAAUUACAUGAAACCGAAGAAUUUUCGAAUAAUCACUAAGUUACCUCAAUGGGGAUGUUCAUAUCCCAAACAAGCAAAUCAUACUUCAUCUUGACAAUAGGUAUAGGGCAUUCAAAGCUCCCAAUAAGGAUUGAUGAAGUUUUCUCAAUAGCAUUGAUGCAAUGUACUCGAUAUUGUUUCUUCGGAAAGUGCACCGUAUGCUCAUUACCAUUGACAUGGAAAGUGACAUUGCCUUUGUUGCAAUCAAUAACAUCCCAUAUAGUGUUUAAAAAAGGUCUUCCAAGAAUGACCGCCAUGGCAUCAUCCUCGGGAAUAUCCAAAAUAACAAAGGCCGUUAAGAUAGUAACGUUAGCAACUACAACAGGCACGUCCUCGCAAACACCAAUAGGAAAAGUAGUUGAUUUGUCAUCCAUUCGCAACGACAUUUCAGUAGGCGUCAACUUAUCCAAUUCAAGUCUACAUUAUAAAGAGAGAGGCAUAACAGUAACACCGGCUCCAAGAUCGCACAAAGCAGUUCUAACGUAGUUUCCUUUAAUGGAGCAAGGUAUAGUGGGCACUCCGGGAUCACCUAGUUUCUUAGGAGUUCCACCCUUGAAGGUGUAAUUAGCGAGCAUGGUGGAAAUCUCAACCUCAGGUAUCUUCCUCUUAUUAGUCACAAUAUCUUUCAUAUACUUAGCAUAGGGAGACAUUUUGAGCAUAUCUGUCAAACGCAUUUGCAGAAAGACAGGUCUAAUCAUUUCAACAAAGUGCUCAAAAUCCUCAUCAUCCUUUUUCUUGGAUGGUUUGGGAGGAAAGGGCAUGGGUUUCUGAACCCAUGGUUCUCUUUCUUUACCAUGCCUCCUAGCAAUGAAGUCGUUCUUAUCAUAUCUCCUAUUCUUAGGUUGUGGGUUAUCAAGAUCAACAUGUUCAAUCUCCACAUCCUUAUCAUUACUAGGUUGAGCAUCAUCAUGAACACCACUAUCGAUAUUAUCAAUAGGCUCAUGUUUAUCACCAGAUUGUGUUUCGGCAUCAGAAACAGUGAUAUCAUUUGGAUUCUCAGGUGUAACAGCAGCAGGUUUGCUAGCAUGCAAGUUCCUAUCAUCUUUCUUUUUCUUCCUAUUACUAGGAUGACUAGGUGCCUCAGUGCUAACUCCUUGAGAAUCUUGUUCAAUUCUCUUAGGAUGACCCUCGGGAUACAAAGGUUCCUGGGUCAUUCUACCACCUCUAGUGAUAACUCUAACAGACUUGUCAUUCAACUCAUUGAGCAAGUCAUUUUGAGCCUUAAGUACUUGUUCUACUUGAGUAGUGACCAUAGAGGCAUGUUUACUCAAAAUCUUAAGAUCAUUGACAUUUCUAUCCACACGAGCACUUAUAUGAUCAAUCAUACGAGCAUUUUGCCUCAAUUGUGUGCUAACAUAAUCACUGAAACUUUGUUGCUUGGCAACAAAGUUAUCAAAUUCAUCUAAGCAUAACCUAGCAGGUUUAUCAAAAGGAAUAUCACCCUCAUUGAAUCUACGAAGAGAAUUUACCUCUACUACCUGUCUCGGGUUAUCAAGACCAUGUAUCUCUUUGAUAGGUGGUAUAUUCUUAACAUCUUCACAUUUAAUACCUUUCUCUUGCAUAGAUUUCUUGGCUUCUUGCAUAUCUUCAGGACUGAGGAAUAGAAUACCUCUUUUCUUCGGAGUUGGUUUCGGAGGUGGUUCGGGAAUAGUCCAAGCAUUAUCAUUGCUCAAGAUAUUAUUCAAUAGAAUCUCAGCUUGUUCCACAGUUCGUUCCCUGAAAACACAACCAGCACAACUAUCUAGGUGGUCCCUAGAAGCAUCGGUUAGUCCAUUAUAAAAGAUAUCAAGUAUUUCAUUUUUCUCAAGAGGGUGAUCAGGCAAAGCAUUAAGUAGCUGGAUAAGCCCCCCCCCAAGCUUGUUGGAGACUCUCUUCUUCAACUUGCACAAAGUUAUAUAUAUCCUGCAAGGCAGCUUGUUUCUUAUGGGCAGGAAAAUAUUUCUCAGAGAAGUAGUAGAUCAUAUCCUGGGGACUACGCACACAACCAGGAGCAAGAGAAGUGAACUAAGUCUUAGCAUCACCCUUUAGUGAGAAAGGAAACAACUUAAGGAUAUAUUAGUGGCGGAUCUUUUCCUCACUCGUGAAUAGGGUGGCUAUAUCGUGCAGCUUAGUAAGAUGUGCUACAACCAUUUCAGACAGAUAACCAUGAAAAGGAUCAGAUUCAACCAAAGUGAUUAACUCAGGAUCGCUAGAGAAUUCAUAAUCCUUAUCAGUCACAAAGAUAGGUGAAGUAGCAAACUUAGGAUCGUAUUUCAUUCUAGCGUUCUGAGAUUUUUCUUUCCACUUGUGCAAUAAAUUCUCAAGAUCAUAGCUAUCCUUACAAGCAAGAAAGUCCUCAGCUACCUCUCCCUCCAUAACAUAACCCUUGGGUAUAUCAGGCAAUUCAUAUCUAGGAGAGCUAGUUCUAACAAGUGAAAUAGCAGGUUCUACUUCAAUAAUUUCAGCAGUUUCAGAAGUAUCAUCACAUUCAGCAGCAACUUUAGCAAUUUGUGCAUCAAGGAAUGCACCAAGUGGCGAAGCAGUAUCAAGCAAAGCAUCAUCAUAAGCAUCAUGGAUAGCAGAAGUAGCAUCAUCAAGCACAGGCGACACAUCAGGAUUUCUAGUAGGUGGUGGUGUCGCAAACUUACUCAUAAUUGAAGGUGAAUCAAGUGCAGAGCUAGAUUGCAGUUCCUUACCUGUCCUCGUAGUUGAGGGCAAGACUUUAGUUUUUGGAUCUCUUGGAUUCCUCAUAGUGAUCAACAGACGUAAAUCCCAAGUGACUCAGAGAAUAGUGCUAGGCCUCCCCGGCAACGGCGCCAGAAAAUAGUCUUGAUAACCCACAAGUAUAGGGGAUCGCAACAGUUUUCGAGGGUAGAGUAUUCAACCCAAAUUUGUUGAUUCGACACAAGGGGAAGCCAAAGAAUAUUCUCGAGUAUUAGCAGUUGAGUUGUCAAUUCAACCACACCUGAAAGACUUAGUAUCUGCGACAAAGUUUCAGUAGCAAAGUAGCAUCAUAGUAACAGUAGCAGCAGUGACAGCAGUAGCGGUAAUAGUAGCAGCAGUGACAGCAGUAGCAGUAACAGUAGCAAGGACCAGUAGGAAAAAGUCUUAGGCAUUGGAUCGGUGAUGGAUAAUUAUGCCGGAUGACAUUCAUCAUGUAUCAGUUAUAACAUGGGAUGAUUUGUAACUAGCUCCAGUUCGUCAAUGUAAUGUAUGCAUGUAUUCCGUAUAUAGUCAUACAUGCUUAUGGAAAAGAACUUGCAUGACAUCUAUUGUCCAUCCCUCCCGUGGCAGCGGGGUCCUAAUGGAAACUAAGGGAUAUUAAGGUUCUCCUUUAAAUAGAGAACAAAAACAAAGCAUUAGCACUUAGUGAAUACAUGAACUCCUCAUACUAUGGUCAUCUCCGAGAGUGGUUCCGGCUAUUGUCACUCCGGGGUUGCCGGGUCAUAACACAUAGUAGGUGACUACAACUUGCAAGAUAGGAUCAAGAACACACAUAUAUUGAUGAAAACAUAAUAGGUUCAGAUCUGAAAUCAUGGCACUUGAGCCCUAGUGACAAGCAUUAAGCAUAGCAAAGUAGUAGCAACAUCAAUCUCAGAACAUAGUGGAUACUAGGGAUCAAACCCCAUCAAAACUAACUCGAUUACAUGAUAGAUCUCAUCCAACCCAUCACCGUCCAGCAAGCCUACGAUGAGAUUACUCAUGAACGGUGAAGAGCAUCAUGGAAUUGGAAAUGAAGGAUGGUUGGUGAUGACGACAGUGAUGAUUUCCCCUCUCUGGAGCCCAGAACGGACUCCAUAUCUGCCCUCCAGAGGAAGAACAUGUGGUGGCAGUGGUUCCGUGUCGUAAAACGCAAUGAACUCUUCUCUCCUAAUUUUUUCUGGGAAACACAGACUAUAUAGAGGUGGAGUUGGAGGCAGCGGAGCCACGAGGGCCUCACAAGCGUGCCAGGCGCAGCCAGGGGGGCCCAGGCCUCCUAGGCUUGUGGGCUCCUCGCUCCGUCCCUCCAGGUAAUUCUUGCGCCAGUAUUUUUCAUAUAUUCCACAAUAAAUCCUCGUAAAUUUCCAGGUCAUUUUGAGAAAUUUUAUUUUUGCGCAAAAACAACACCAUGGCAAUUCUGCUGAAAACACCUUCAGUACGGGUUAGUUCCAUUCAAAUCAUGCAAAUUAGAGUCCAAAACAAGGGCAAAAGAGUUUGGAAAAGUAGAUACGAUGGAGAUGUAUCAUAGGGAACCCCAUGAGAGGCAUCGGGCAUGGCAGUUGGUGGGGAGGCGAAGCUCUGCUCGACCUAUGUUGGCGGCCAUGACGGGGCAUGGAGCUUGGGGUGACCGCGUACACGGCGGCUCCGGUCCGUGGCACCAUCGCAUCUGAGUGAGGACGGGUCGCCAGCGUCGGGUGCAUUCAUGAACGAGGUGCGGAACCGAGGAAGCUUCAGGCCAUGGCGUCCAUGGAGUCUUGCCUAUUCCUGGUUCAGAGAUAGAGAUGAGAUAGAGGGAAAUAAGGAAAUAAAGGAUGGAGUGGUGCAUGGGAGACAUGACCUUGGUGGUCACCGGUGGUAACUACAGGAGGAGAUUGAGGCUGUCGCGGGGACGACGGAGAUCCUCGGGCAUGGGCUCUCGAGCACGGCAAGCGGGAGAGAUGGAGGCAAGGUGCUUGGGGACGUGAGGAAGGAGAUGCUUGGUGACGACCUGCUGGAAUGAGGUGCUUGGGGAGGUGGCCGGCGAUCGAAACACUCCGGCGAGGUCCUGGGUGCGGGUGUAGGGCUGGCACAGGUAGCCGCUCGCGAUGGAGAAGCACAGGAGGCACUGGUUGUAGCGNNNNNNNNNNNNNNNNNNNNNNNNNNNNNNNNNNNNNNNNNNNNNNNNNNNNNNNNNNNNNNNNNNNNNNNNNNNNNNNNNNNNNNNNNNNNNNNNNNNNUCUUCCUCCCACUCAAUUCUCUCGAGAGAAACUCCUUCUCGAGAAAAACUCCGUUUUUAGCAACAAACACUUUGCCCUCGGGUUUGAGAUAGAAGGUGUACACAACUGUCUCUUUUGGGUAACCUAUGAAGACGCACUUUUCCGCUUUGGGUUCCAGCUUUUCAGGCUGAAGCUUUUUGACAUAAGCAUCACAUCCCCAAACUUUAAGAAACGACAACUUUGGCCUUUUGCCAUACCACAGUUCGUAUGGUGUCGUCUCAACGGAUUUUGAUGGUGCCCUAUUUAAAGUGAAUGCAGCUGUUUCUAAUGCAUAGCCCCAAAAUGAUAACGGCAAAUCAGUAGGAGACAUCAUAGAUCGCACCAUCUCUAAUAGAGUACGAUUACGUCGUUCGGACACACCAUUACGCUGUGGUGUUCCAGGCGGUGUUAACUGUGAAACAAUUCCACAUUGUCUUAAGUGAGCACCAAACUCGAAACUCAGAUAUUCACCCCCACGAUCAGAUCGUAGGAACUUGAUCUUCUUGUUACGAUGAUUUUCCACUUCACUCUGAAAUUGCUUGAACUUUUCAAAUGUUUCAGACUUGUGCUUCAUCAAGUAGACAUAACCUUAUCUACUUAAAUCGUCAGUGAAGGUGAGAAAAAAACGAUAUCCGCCGCGUGCCUCCACGCUCAUCGGACCACACACAUCGGUAUGUAUGAUUUCCAACAAGUGACUUGGACGCUCCAUUGUUCCUGAGAACGGAGUCUUAGUCAUCUUGCCCAUGAGGCAUGGUUCGCACGUGUCAAGUGACUCCAAAAGUCCAUCAGCAUGGAGUUUCUUCAUGCGCUUUACAACAAUAUGACCUAAGCGGCAGUGCCACAAAAAUAUGGCGCUAUCAUUGUUAACUCUAACUCUUUUGGUCUCAAUGUUAUGUAUAUGCGUAUCAUUAUCAAGAUUCAAUAUGAACAAUCCUCUCACAUUCGGUGCAUGACCAUAAAAGAUGUUACUCAUAGAAAUAGAACAACCAUUAUUCUCUNNNNNNNNNNNNNNNNNNNNNNNNNNNNNNNNNNNNNNNNNNNNNNNNNNNNNNNNNNNNNNNNNNNNNNNNNNNNNNNNNNNNNNNNNNNNNNNNNNNNCCUCACGUCCCUCGAUCCGCCCCGCGAACAAUCCCGCGAUCAGUCCCGCGAUCCGUCCCACGAUCUAGUGCCGAACGGACGGCACCUCCGCGUUCAGCACACGUACAGCUCGACGAUGAUCUCGGCCUUCUUGAUCCAGCAAUAUGGAGGAGAAGAUACGAUGAUCUCGGCCUUCUUGAUCCAGCAAGAGAGACGGAGAGGUAGAUGAGUUCUCCGGCAGCGUGACGACGCUCCGGAGGUUGGUGGUGAUCUAAUCUCAGCAGGGCUCCGCCCGAGCUCCGCAGAAACGCGAUCUAGAGGAAAAACCGUGGAGGUAUGUGGUCGGACUGCCAUGGGAAAAGUUGUCUCAAAUCAGUCCUAAUACCUCAGUAUAUAUAGGAGGGAGGGGGGAGGGAAGAGGCGGCCUCAAACCCUCAAGGGUUGGCCGAAAUUGGAGGUGGAGGAGUCCUACUCCAAUCCUACUUGGAGUAGGAUUCCACCUUCCCACUUGGAAACUCUUUCCACCUUGUGUUUUUUCCUUCUCAAACCUUAUGGGCCUUAGUGGGAACUUAUUCCAGACCACUAGGGGCUGGUUUAUCUCUUCCCGUAGCCCAUGAGACCCCUUUGGGCCUGACACCCCUCCCGAUGGUCCCCGGCACCCCUCCCGGCACUCCCGGUACACUACCGAUGAGCCCGAAACUUUUCCGGCGACCAAAACAGGACUUCCUAUAUAUCAAUCUUUACGUCCGGACCAUUCCGGAGCUCCUCGUGACGUCCUGGAUCUCAUCCAGGACUCCGAACAACAUUCGGUAACCAACCAUAUAACUCAAAUACGCAUAAAACAACGUCGAACCUUAAGUGUGCAGACCCUGCGGGUUCGAGAACUAUGUAGACAUGACCCGAGAGACUCCUCGGUCAAUAUCCAAUAGCGGGACCUAGAUGCCCAUAUUGGAUCCUACACAUUCUACGAAGAUCUUAUCGUUUGAACCUCAGUGCCAAGGAUUCAUAUAAUCCCGUAUGUCAUUCCCUUUGUCCUUCAGUAUGUUACUUGCCCGAGAUUCGAUCGUCAGUAUCCGUAUACCUAUUUCAAUCUCGUUUACCGGCAAGUCUCUUCUCGUCAGUAUCCGCAUACCUAUUUCAAUCUCGUUUACCGGCAAGUCACUUUACUCGUUCCGUAAUAAAAGAUCCCGCAACUUAUGCUAAGUCACAUUGCUUGCAAGGCUUGUGUGUGAUGUUGUAUUACCGAGUGGGCCNNNNNNNNNNNNNNNNNNNNNNNNNNNNNNNNNNNNNNNNNNNNNNNNNNNNNNNNNNNNNNNNNNNNNNNNNNNNNNNNNNNNNNNNNNNNNNNNNNNNCAUUGGUUUGAGAUUAUCCCUCUACAUCAUGUCAUCUUGCUUAAGGCAUUACUCUGUUCUUAUGGACUUAAUACACUAGAUGCAUGCUGGAUAGCAGUCGACGUGUGGAGUAAUAGUAGUAGAUGCAAAAAGUAUCGGUCUACUUGUUUUGGACAUGAUGCCUAUUGAUAUAAUCAUUGCAUAGAUAUAGUCACGACUUUGCGCGGUUCUAUCAAUUUCUCGACAGUAAUUUGUUCACCCACCGUCUACUUGCUCUCAUGAGAGAAGCCACUAGUAAACACUACGGCCCCCGGGUCUAUUCACAUCCAUCGUUUACACCUCCGCUUUUACUUUGCUUUGUUACUUUGUUGCUUUCAGUUCUCACUUGGCAAACAAUCUAUAAGGGAUUGACAACCCCUUCAUAGCGUUGGGAGCAAGCUUUUGAGUUUGUGCAGGAUCUUGAGAUACUCCUCCACUGGAUUGAUACCUUGGUUCUCAAAACUGAGGGAAAUACUUACCGUCACUGUGCUACAUCACCCUUUCCGCUUCAAGAGGGAAAUACUUACCGUCGCUGUGCUACAUCACCCUUUCCGCUUCAAGGGAACACCAACGCAAGGCUCCAAGGCCACGGGAGAAAUGAUUUGCAUACUUGCCUAGGAAGUCCCUUAAGGCGUAGCCGCAGCUGAAGGAUUCCUGGAGCCGUCGACACACAUGUUUCUGGCUCCAUUGGAAGGACUUUUGUGCAUUAGCAUAGCUGACAUCAGAAGCAUUUCUGGCACCGUUGCCGGGGAGGAGAAAUCAAGAUCUAUCCAAGUAGGUCUCACAAACUAUUCUCUUGCAUUUACUUUUGUUGCCAGUUGCCUCUCGUUUUCCUCUCCCCCACUUCACAUUCGCCGUUUUCAUUUGCCUUUCUCCUUUGCCUUUUUCAUUUGCCUUUUCGUUCGCCCUUUUCUCUCGCUUGCUUUCUGUUCGCUUGUGUGCCAUGUGCCUUCAAUAUGCUUGCAUCUUUGUUUGUUAAUCUCUUUAAGAGACCCACUUGUGUGGAACGAAUUGCUAGUGAGUUGAGGACACUUGACUAUCUUUAUGGAGUUUUUCUUGAGAUGCGUGAAUCUGAAAAUUGUGUGAAGGAAACUUAUGAAGUGAUUCACGAGGGCUCCUUGAAUGAAAAGCAUGAUUGCAAUGGUUUCACUAUAAAUUCUAUUAGUGACAAUCAUGCUAAAAUUAUGCAAAACCCUAAGCUUGGGGAUGCUAGUUUUGCUAUGUCCCCUAGUUGUUGCAAUAAUCAUGAUUGGGGUGAUGAUCUUUCUUAUGAUCUUGAGAAUUUGUUCAAACCUCAUGAUGAGUAUGAUAUUUGCAACAGUAUUGAAAGUGGNNNNNNNNNNNNNNNNNNNNNNNNNNNNNNNNNNNNNNNNNNNNNNNNNNNNNNNNNNNNNNNNNNNNNNNNNNNNNNNNNNNNNNNNNNNNNNNNNNNNGGACACCUAUGCUAGGUAGCAUGAAAGCAUCAAAAAUUCAUUCUUUAUCACUUCCCUACUCGAGGACGAGCAGGAGUUAAGCUUGGGGAUGCUUGAUACGUCUCAAACGUAUCUAUAAUUUUUGAUGGUUUCACGUUGUUAUCUUGUCUUCUUUGGAUGCUUUAUGCAGCUUUUAUAUCUUUUUUGGGACUAACUUAUUAAUUCAGUGCGAAGUGUCAGUUCCUCUUUUUUCCGUGUUUUUGACUCUUUUCAGAUCUGAUUUUGGAACGGAGUCCAAACGGAAUAAAAACCCCGAAAUGAUUUUUUCCCGAACGGAAGAAGAUCAGGGGGCCUUUGGGCCAAGCCAGGUGGGCUCCAGGGAGCCCACAAGCCCCCACUCCGCCACCAGGGGAGGCGGCGGUGGCAGGGCUUGUGGCCUCCCUGGCCGCCCCCUCACCUAGAUCCUUGGCCUAUAUAUUCCCAAAUAUUCUGCAAAAAAUCAGGGGAGCCUCGAAAAUACUUUUCCGCCGCCGCAAGCUUCCGUUUCCGCGAGAUCUCAUCUGGAGACCCUUCCCGGCGCCCUGCCGGAGGGGACUUUGGAGUUGGAGGGCUUCUUCAUCAUCAUCAUCGCGCCUCCAAUGACUCGUGAGUAGUUCACUUCAGACCUAUGGGUCCGUAGUUAGUAGCUAGAUGGCUUCUUCUCUCUCUUGGAUCUUCAAUACAAAGUUCUCCAUGAUCUUCAUGGAGAUCUAUCCGAUGUAAUCUUCUUUGGCGGUGUGUUUGUCGAGAUCCGAUGAAUUGUGGAUUUGUGAUCAGAUUAUCUAUGAUAUAUAUUUGAGUCUUUGCUGAUUUCUUAUAUGCAUGAUUUGAUAUCCUUGUAAGUCUCUCCGAGUCUUGGGUUUUGUUUGGCCAACUAGAUGUAUGAUUCUUGCAAUGGGAGAAGUGCUUGGUUUUGGGUUCUACCAUGUGGUGACCUUUCCCAGUGACAGUAGGGGCAGUAAGGCACACAUCAAGUAGUUGCCAUCAAGGGUAAAAAGAUGGGGUUUUUAUCAUUGGUUUGAGAUUAUCCCUCUACAUCAUGUCAUCUUGCUUAAGGCGUUACUCUGUUCUUAAGGACUUAAUACACUAGAUGCAUGCUGGAUAGCGGUCGACGUGUGGAGUAAUAAUAGUAGAUGCAAAAAGUAUCGCUCUACUUGUUUUGGACGUGAUGUCUAUAGAUAUAAUCAUUGCAUAGAUAUCGUCACGACUUUGCGCGGUUCUAUCAAUUUCUCGAUAGUAAUUUGUUCACCCACCGUCUACUUGCUUUCAUGAGAGAAGCCACUAGUAAACACUACGGCCACCGGGUCUAUUCACAUCCAUCGUUUACACCUCCGCUUUUACUUUGUUUUGUUACUUUGUUGCUUUCAGUUCUCACUUGGCAAACAAUCUAUAAGGGAUUGACAACCCCUUCAUAACGUUGGGAGCAAGCUUUUGAGUUUGUGCAGGAUCUUGAGAUACUCCUCCACUGGAUUGAUACCUUGGUUCUCAAAACUAAGGGAAAUACUUACCGUCACUGUGCUACAUCACCCUUUCCGCUUCAAGGGAACACCAAUGCAAGGCUCCAAGGCCACGGGGGAAAUCCUUUGCAUACUUGCCUAGGAAGUCCCUUAAGGCGUAGCCGCAGCUGAAGGAUUCCUGGUUCCGUCGACUCACCUGUUUCUGGCGCCAUUGGAAGGACUUUUGUGCAUUAGCAUAGCUGACAUCAAUGCACAUCUUCGCGGGGACCUUCUCUAUAUCUUGCAAUCAAAUUCCUCAAACUCGGUACUUACACUUCAUAUAUUUAUCCCCGUUGAAAACUUAACCUAUUUGUCAACAAUCACCAAAAAGAGGGAGAUUGUAAUUGCAUUUAGUGCUCCUUAGUGAUUUUUGGUGUAUUGAGGACUUAUAGGUUAAGAUAUUAAUGUGUUUGUGAGUGUACACAUGCUCUAUAAGUUGCUGAGGAAUUUGAGUUAUUCAAAGAAUAUCGACCACUAAAAAUGAAUAUCUUGAACUGAAGACUUUGAUAAUUCCCUGAAGAUUUUGAUAGUGAGGAAAUCGGUGUGUCCUUGAAGGAAUUAUUACGAGGACUUUAAAGCGUGAACACUUUUGUCUUCAUAGUUUCAUUUCCUUUCUUUUGAGUCGUAGAAACACCGUUCUGUUAAAUGGGGUCGAGGUAAAACUAAGGAAAAGUUUCCAUGUGAUUCUCAUCUCAAAGCCUACACAUACCCAACCCUUCGAGUGAAGCCUUUGGAAAUCUUUGACAGUUUAGUCCAUUUCUGAAGUGACAAAGACAAAGAUCUUCUGGUCUCCGAGGAAAUUGCUCUAACCGACAAGUUAGGACUUCGCUAGUAAGAAUUACCAAUAAGUGAGGAAUAUGAGAGACAUGAGGACUUUCACAGAUUGAAAGUUCCAACCAUUGUUGCGCCACGCGCCAGCUGUUCCCAAACCUUAUAUAAAUAACGGUCAUAUCAUUGGGGCAUUUAUAUCAAAUCAUUGUCGGGAUUGCUCCGAGACUAUAAAUAGCCCCCCAUAACCACUAGCUGGUUGGCUGCUCUUAGAGAGAACUUGACACUUGUCAUUUGAGAGCAUCCCAUUGAUGACCCACAAGUAUAGGGGAUCAAUCAUAGUCCUUUCGAUAAGUAAGAGUGUCGAACCCAACGAGGAGCAGAAGGCUCUGAUAAACGGUUUUCAACAAGGUAAUAACUGCAAGCACUUAAAGUAGCGGUAACAAGUGAUGGUGUAGCGAGGUGAAACGUAGCAAGCGAAAACUAACAAGUAACAAGUAGUAGCAACGGUGCAGCAAGUGGCCCAAUCCCUUUUGUAGCAAGGGACAAGCCUGAAAAAAGUCUUAUAGGAGGAAAAACGCCCCCGAGGACACACGGGAAUUCCUGUCAUGCUAGUUUCAUCAUGUUCAUAUGAUUCACGUUCGUUACUUUGAUAGUUUGAUAUGUGGGUGGACCGGCGCUUGGGUACUGCCCUUACUUGGACAAGCAUCCCACUUAUGAUUAACCCCUCUCGCAAGCAUCCGCAACUACAAAAAAAGAAUUAAGACAACGUCUAACCAUAGCAUUAAACUAGUGGAUCCAAAUCAGCCCCUUACGAAGCAACGCAUAGACUGGGGUUUAAGCUUCUGUCACUCCAGCAACCCAUCAUCUACUUACUACUCCCCAAUGCCUUCCUUUAGGCCCAAAUAUGGUGAAGUGUUAUGUAGUCUACGUUCACAUAACACCACUAGAGGAAAAGACAACAUACAACAUAUCAAAAUACCGAACGAAUAUCAAAUUCACAUGACUAUUAUCAGCAUGUCUUAUCCCAUGUCCUCAGGAACAAAAGUAACUACUCACAAAGCAUAAUAAUAAUCAUGAUCAGAGGUGCAAUGAAUAGCAUCAAGGAUCUGAACAUAAACUCUUCCACCAAGUAAUCCAACUAGCAUCAACUACAAAGAGUAAUCAACACUACUAGUAACCUUACAAGUACCAAUCAGAGUCGUGAGAUGGAGAUUGGUUACAAGAGAUGAACUAGGGAUUGGAGAGGAGAUGGUGCUGAUGAAGAUGUUGAUAAAGAUGCCUCCCCUCCGACGAGAGGAGUGUUGGUGAUGACGAUGGCGACGAUUUCCCCCUCCGGGAGGGAAGUUUCCCUGGCAGGAUCGUACUGCUGGAGCUCUAGAUUGGAUCUGCUCCNNNNNNNNNNNNNNNNNNNNNNNNNNNNNNNNNNNNNNNNNNNNNNNNNNNNNNNNNNNNNNNNNNNNNNNNNNNNNNNNNNNNNNNNNNNNNNNNNNNNGCUCAACAACAUGACCUCCAAGACAGGGUUACCGUACUACUCUGCAGUAGUACGCGACCUUGUCGACCUACGAGGUUUGUAGUAUCUUGAUUCGAAUGCUCGAUGAUCACCAUCAUCAGCUUUCACUUCAAUUGGUGUAGGAGCCACAGGAACAACUUCCUGCGCCCUGCUACACACUGGUUGAAGUGAUGGUUCAAUAACCUCAUCAAGUUCUACUACCCUCCCACUCAAUUCUUUCGAGAGAAACCUUUCCUCGAGAAAGGAUCCGUUUCUAGAAACAAACACUUUGCUUUCGGAUCUGAGAUAGGAGAUGUACCCAACUGUUUUGGAUAUCCUAUGAAGAUGCAUUUAUCCGAAGAUGUACCCAACUGUUUUGGAAAUCCUAUGAAGAUGCAUUUAUCCGCUUUGGGUUCGAGCUUAUCAGACUAAAACUUUUUCACAUAAGUGUCGAAACCCCAAACUUUCAAAAAACGACAGUUUAGAUUUCUCUAAACCUCAGUCUUUACUGUGUCAUCUCAACGGAAAUACGCGGUGCCCUAUUUGAAGUGAGUGCGGUUGUCUCUAAUGCUUAACCCAUAAACGAUAGUGGUAAUUCGAUAAGAGACAUCAUAGCAUGCACCACACCAAGUAGUGUGUGGCUAUUACGUUCAGACACAUCAUCACACUAUGAUGUUCUAGGUGGCAUGAACUGCGAACCAAUUUCCACACUGUCUUAACUGCAUACCAAAACUCGUAACUCCGAUAUUCAUUUCUAUGAUCAAUUUCCACAUUGUCUUAACUGUGUACCAAAACUCGUAACUCAGAUAUUCAUUUCCAUGAUCAUAUCGUAGACAGUUUAUCCUCUUGUUACGACGAACUUCACUCUGAAACGGAAUUGAACUUUUCAACAUUUCAGACUUGUGAUUCAUUAAGUAAAUACUCCUGUAUCUACUCAAGUUGUCAGUGAAGUAAGAACANNNNNNNNNNNNNNNNNNNNNNNNNNNNNNNNNNNNNNNNNNNNNNNNNNNNNNNNNNNNNNNNNNNNNNNNNNNNNNNNNNNNNNNNNNNNNNNNNNNNNNNNNNNNNNNNNNNNNNNNNNNNNNNNNNNNNNNNNNNNNNNNNNNNNNNNNNNNNNNNNNNNNNNNNNNNNNNNNNNNNNNNNNNNNNNNNNNNNNNNNNNNNNNNNNNNNNNNNNNNNNNNNNNNNNNNNNNNNNNNNNNAACAUGACUCAAGUGGCAGUGCCACAAGUAAGUGGUACUAUUAUCAUCAACUCGUAUCUUUUGGCACCAAUAUCAUGAACAUGUGUAACACUACGGUCGAGAUUCAAUAAACCAUUGAAGGUGAUUAUUCAAGAAAAUAGAGUAACCAUUAUUCUCUUUAAAUGAAUAAUGUAUUGCAAUAAACACGAUCCAAUCAUGUUCAUGCUUAACGCAAGCACCAAAUAACAAUUAUUUAGGUUUAACACCAAUCUCGAUGGUAGAGGGAGCGUGCGACGUUUGAUCAUAUCAACCUUGGAAACACUUCCAACACGUAUCGUCACCUCGCCUUUAGCUAGUCUCCGUUUAUGCCGUAGCUUUCAUUUCGUGUUACUAAUCACUUAGCAACCGAACCGGUAUCCAAUACCCUCAUGCUACUAGGAGUUCUAGUAAAGUACACAUCAACAUCAUGUAUAUCAAAUAUACUUCUCUUGACUUUUGCCAGCCUUCUUAUCUACCAAGUAUCUAGAGUUGCUCUGCCUCAGUGACUGUUCCCCUCAUUACAGAAGCACUUAGUCUCAGGUUUGGGUUUAAUCUUGGGUCUCUUCAUUAGUGCAGCAACUGUUUUGCCGUGUCACGAAGUGUCCCUUCUAGCCCUUGCCUUUCUCGAAACUUAGUGGUUUUACUAACCAUCAACUAUUGAUGCUCCUUCUUGAUUUCUACUUUCGCAGUGUCAAACAUCGCGAAUCGCUCAAGGAUCAUUGUAUCUAUCCUUGAUAUGUUAUAGUUCAUCACGAAGCUCUCAUAGCUUGGUGGUAGUGACUUUGGAGAACCAUCACUAUCUCAUCUGGAAGAUUAACUCCCACUUGAUUCAAGCGAUUGUCGUACUCAGACAAUCUGAGCACACGCUCAACGAUUGAGCGUUUCUCCUUUACUUUAUGGACAAAGAAUCUUGUCGGAGGUUGAAAAGGACGUGGAUGUCGCCUAGAGGGGGGGGGGUGAAUAGGCGCUUUAAAAUAGUUAAGGUUUAGGCUUGAACAAAUGCGGAAUAAAACUAAUCGUUUAAUAUGUCAAGCACAAAACCUACAACAACUAGGCUCACCUAUGUGCACCAACAACUUAUGCUAAGCAAGAUAAACAACUAAGUGAUAGCAAGAUAUAUUACAAUAAAGAAUAUGUCUAUCACAAAGUAAAGUGCAUAAGUAAAGGGUUCGGGUAAGAGAUAACCGAGGCACGGGGAGACGAUGAUGUAUCCCGAAGUUCACACCCUUGCGGAUGCUAAUCUCCGUUAGAGCGGUGUGGAGGCACAAUGCUCCCCAAGAUGCCACUAAGGCCACCGUAAUCUCCUCACGCCCUCGCACAAUGCAAGAUGCCGUGAUUCCACUAAGGGACCCUUGAGGGCGGUCACCGAACCCGUACAAAUGGCAACCCUUGGGGGCGGUCACCGAACCCGUACAAAUGGCAACCCUUGGGGGCGGUCACCGAACCCGUACACGUGGCAACCCUUGGGGGCGGUUACCGGUACCCGUACAAAUUGCUCGGGGCAAUCUCCACAACCUUAUUGGAGACCCCGACGCUUCCCGGAGCUUCACACCACAAUGAUUGAGCUCCGAGACACCACCAAGCUUCUAGGACGCCAAAGCAUCCACGAAGAACAAUAUCAAGGGUACUAAGUACCAAAGGUAGUAAGCUUCUCAACUUCUCACUUCCACGUAUCACCGUGGAGAACUCAAACCGAUGCAACUAAUGCAAUGGCAAGAACACACGAAGUGGUCAAGUCCCUCACACUCAAAUCCCUCCACAACAACAAAAGCUAUGGAGAAAUAUGAGAGGAAGAACAAGGAGCUCACAAAGAACUCCAAGAUCAAGAUCCAAGGGGUUCCCCUCACAUAGAGGAGAAAGUGAUUGGUGGAGAUGUGGAUCUAGAUCUCCUCUCUCUUUUCCCUCAAGAGCAAGCAAGAAUCAUUGGAGGGAUUGAGAGUAAUCAAGCUCUAAGAAUGUCAACAAUGGAGGUAGAACAAGAGCUCAACCGAUGAAACAGGCAAGGGGGAAGAAGACCCCCUUUAUAUAGUGGGGGGAAGAAUCAGACCGUUACCCCCACUCUCUGCCCGAGCUCCAGCGGUACUACCGCUGGCUGCAGCGGUACUACCGCUGGCACUCCAGCGGUACUACCGCUGUCACUCCAGCGGUACUACCGCCAGCUAGCGGUACUACCGCUAGCUGCAGCGGUACUACCGCUGGCACUCCAGCGGUACUACCGCUGGUCCCAGCGGUACUACCGCUGGGCCCCUGGUAGUGCAAAGGCACUACCACCGCCAAGAAAGUCUUCGCAAAAAGGUCCGUCCACGAACAACCGCUAGGCAGGCGGUACUAAGCUCCUGGGGCGGUACUACCGCUGACCAGGGGCGGUACUACCGCGAGCCAGCGGUACUACCGCUAGGGCCAGCGGUACUACCGCCAACUCUAGCGGUACUACCGCUAGGUCGAGCGGUACUACCGCUAGGUCCAGCGGUACUACCGCUCGCCACUGAAACAACCAUAACUUUCGCAUACGAGCUCCGAAUCGAGCAAACCCAAGCUUGUUGGAUUCAGGACUCCCCCCCCCAAACCGAGUUGGACUUGGUUUGGUGGGAGGGAGUCCCCCUUCCUUCCCACCUCCUCCUUUUUUUUUCUUUUCUCUUGAUUUUCUCUUCUUGGCGCAUAGAGCCCUUUUGGGCUGUCCCACCAGCCCACUAAGGGCUAGUGUGCCACCCUCAAGGCCUAUGGGCUUCCCCGGGGUGGGUUGCCCCCCCCGGUGAACUCCCGGAACCCAUUCGUCAUUCCCGGUACAUUCCCGGUAACUCCGAAAACCUUCCGGUACUCAAAUGAGGUCAUCCUAUAUAUCAAUCUUCGUUUUCGGACUAUUCUGGAAACCCUCGUGACGUCCGUGAUCUCAUCCGGGACUCCGAACAACAUUUGGUAACCAACCAUAUAACUCAAAUACGCAUAAAACAACGUCGAACCUNNNNNNNNNNNNNNNNNNNNNNNNNNNNNNNNNNNNNNNNNNNNNNNNNNNNNNNNNNNNNNNNNNNNNNNNNNNNNNNNNNNNNNNNNNNNNNNNNNNNAAAGAUACGAGUUAAUGAUGAUAGUACCACUUACUUGUGGCACUGCCGCUUGAGUCAUGUUAGUAUGAAUUGCAUGAAGAGGUUCCAUGCUGAUGGAUCUUUGUACUCACCUGAUUUCGAAUCACUAGUGACAUGCAAAUCAUACCACAUGAGAAAAGCCUUGUUUUCAUUGAGAUGAAACAAGAUAGUAACUUAUUGGAAGUGAUACAUUUUUGAUGUAUGCAGUCCAAUGGGUGCUGAGGCACGCAGUGGAUAUCAUUAUGUUCUUACUUCACUCACCACUUGAGUAGAUACAGGAGUAUUUACUUGAUGAAUCAUGAGUCUGAAAUAUUAAAAAAAUUCAAUUCCGUUUCAGAGUGAAGUUCGUCGUAACAAGAGGAUAAACUGUCUACGAUAUGAUCAUCGAAAUGAAUAUCUGAGUUACGAAUUUUGGUACGCAGUUGAGACAAUGUGGAAAUUGUUUCACAGUUCAUGCCACCCGGAACAUCAUAGUGUGAUGAUGUGUUUGAACGUCAUAGCCAUGCACUAUUUGGUAUGGUGCAUGUUGUGAUGUCUCUUAUCGAAUUACCACUAUCGUUUGUAGGUUAUGCAUUAGAGACAACGGCAUUCACUUUAAGUAGGGCACCGUGUAUUUUCGUUGAGAUGACACAGUAUAGACUGAGGUUUAGAGAAAUCUAAAUUGUCGUUUCUUGAAAGUUUGGGGCUUCGACACUUAUGUGAAAAAGUUUCAGUCUGAUAAGCUCGAACCCAAAGCGGAUAAAUGCAUCUUCAUAGGAUAUCCAAAACAGUUGGGUACAUCUCCUAUCUCAGAUCCGAAAGCAAAGUGUUUGUUUCUAGAAACGGAUCCUUUCUCGAGGAAAGGUUUCUCUCGGAAGAAUUGAGUGGGAGGGUAGUAGAACUUGAUGAGGUUAUUGAACCAUCACUUCAACCAGUGUGUAGCAGGGCGUAGGAAGUUGUUCCUGUGGCGCCUACACCAAUUGAAGUAGAAGCUGAUGAUGGUGAUCGUUGAGCUUCGAAUCAAGUUACUACAAACCUCGUAGGUCGACAAGGUCGCGUACUGCUGCAGAGUAGUACGGUAACCCUGUCUUGGAGGUCAUGUUGUUGAGCAACAGUGAACCUACGAGUUAUGGAGAUAGCGAUGGUGGGCGCAGAUUCCGACAAAUGGCUGGAAGCCAUGAAAUCCGAGAGAGGAUCCAUGUGUAAAAACAAAGUGUCGACUUUGGUAGAACUACUUGAUGGUCAUAGGACUAUUGAGUAAAAUGGAUCUUUAAAAGAAGACAGACGAUGAUGGUGAUAAGUCACUAUUAAGAAAAGCUCGACUUGUCGCAAAGAUGUUUUCGACAAGAUCAAACAGUUAACUAUGAUGAGACUUUCUCACUCGUAGCGAUGCUAAAGGUUGUUAGAAUUAUGUUAGUUGUUGAUGCAUUAUUUAUGAAAUAUUGCAUGUAGGAUGUCAAAACAUUGUUUUCUCGACGGUUUCCUUGAGCAAACAUUGUAUGUGAUACAACCAGAAGGNNNNNNNNNNNNNNNNNNNNNNNNNNNNNNNNNNNNNNNNNNNNNNNNNNNNNNNNNNNNNNNNNNNNNNNNNNNNNNNNNNNNNNNNNNNNNNNNNNNNUUGAUCCAUACUAACUCAACGAACACCUUCGGAGAUACCUGUAGAGCAUCUUUAUAGUCACCCAGUUACGUUGCGACGUUUGAUACACACAAAGCAUUCCUCCGGUGUCCGUGAGUUAUAUGAUCUCAUGGUCAUACGAACAAAUACUUGACACGCAGAAAACAGUAGCAACAAAAUGACACGAUCAACAUGCUACGUCUAUUAGUUUGGGUCUAGUCCAUCACAUGAUUCUCCUAAUGAUGUGAUCCCGUUAUCUGGUGACAGCACUUGCCUAUGGCCAGGAAACCUUGACCAUCUUUGAUCAACGAGCUAGUCAACUAGAGGCUUACCAGGGACAGUGUUUUGUCUAUGUAUCCACACAAGUAUUGUGUUUCCAAUCAAUACAAUUAUAGCAUGGAUAAUAAACGAUUAUCAUGAACUAAGAAAUAUAAUAAUAACUAAUUUAUUAUUGCCUCUAGGGCAUAUUUCCAACAGUCUCCCACUUGCACUAGAGUCAAUAAUCUAGUUCACAUCACCAUGUGAUUCCAACGAAUCCAACACCCAUAUAGUUAUGGGGUCUGAUCACGUCUUGCUCGUGAGAGAGGUUUUAGUCAACGGUUCUCAAACUUUCAAAUCCGUGCGUUCUUUACAAAUCUUUAUGUCAUCUUAUAGAUGCUGCUACUACGUGCUAUUCGGAAAUGCUCCAAAUAUCUACUCUACUAUACGAAUCCGUUUCACUACUCAUAGUUAUUUGGAUUAGUGUCAAAGCUUGCAUCGACGUAAUCCUUUACGACGAACUCUUUAACCACCUCCAUAAUCGAGAAAAAUUCCUUAGUCUAUUUAGUUACUAAGGAUAAAUUUCGACCACUGCUAGUGAUUCAAUCAUGGAUCACUCUCUGUACCUCUCAACAUACUUUGAGUCAAGGCACACAGUCAGGUGCGGUACACAACAUGGCAUGCUUUAGAUUCUACGGCUAAGGCAUAGAAGACGACCUUCGUCUAUUCUCUUUAUUCUCCCGGGGUCGGGUUUUGAGUCUUACUCAAAUUCACAUCUUACAACGCAACCAAGAACUCCUUCUUUACUGAUCUAUUUUGAACUCCUUCAAAAACAUGCAAGGCAUGCAUCUUGUUGAAACUUCUAUUAAGCGCUUUCGAUCUAUCUCCAUAGAUCUUUGAUGCUCAACGUUCAAGUAGCGCAAUCUAGGUAUUCCUUUGAAAAACUCCUUUCAAACAACCUUGUAUGCUUUACAGAAAUUCUACAUUACUCGUGAUCCACAAUAUGUCAACCACAUAUACUUAUCAGAAAUUCUAUAGUGCUCCCACUCACUUCUUUGGAAAUACAAGUUUCUCAUAAACCUUGUACAAACCCAAAAUCUUUGAUCAUCUCAUCAAAGUAUAUAUAUUCCAACUCCAAGAUGCUUGCACCAGUCCAUUGAAGGAUCGCUGGAGCUUGCAUACUUGCUAGUAUCUUUAGGAUCGACAAAACCUCCUGGUUGUAUCUCAUACAAUGUUUGCUCAAGGAAACCGUCGAGGAAACAAUGUUUUGGCAUCCUACGUGCAAUAUUUCAUAAAUAAUGCAUCAACAACUAACAUAAUUCUAACAGAUCUUUAGCAUCGCUAUGAGUGAGAAAGUCUCAUCAUAGUCAACUGUUUGAUCUUGUCGAAAACAUCUUUGCGACAAGUCGAGCUUUUCUUAAUAGUGACUUAUCACCAUCAUCGUCUGUUUUCCUUUAAAGAUCCAUCUUUACUCAAUAGUCCUAUGACGAUCAAGUAAUUCUUCCAAAGUCCACACUUUUUUUUCAUACAUGGAUCCCCUCUCGGAUUUCAUGGCUUCCAGCCAUUUGUCGGAAUCCGGGCCCACCAUUGCUUUCUCCAUAACUCGUAGGUUCAUUGUUGCUCAACAACAUGACCUCCAAGACAGGGUUACCGUACUACUCUACAGCAGUACGCGACCUUGUCGACCUACGAGGUUUGUAGUAACUUGAUUCGAAGCUCAAUGAUCACCAUCAUCAGCUUCCACUUCAAUUGGUGUAGGCGCCACAGGAACAACUUCCUGCGCCCUGCUACACACUGGUUGAAGUGAUGGUUCAAUAACCUCAUAAAGUUCUACUACCCUCCCACUCAAUUCUUUCGAGAGAAACCUUUCCUCGAGAAAGGAUCCGUUUCUAGAAACAAACACUUUGCUUUCGGAUCUGAGAUAGGAGAUGCACCCAACUGUUUUGGAUACCCUAUGAAGAAGUAUUUAUCCGCUUUGGGUUCGAGCUUAUCAGACUGAAACUUUUUCACAUAAGUGUCGAAACCCCAAACUUUCAAGAAACGACAGUUUAGAUUUCUCUAAACCUCAGUCUAUACUGUGUCAUCUCAACGGAAAUACGCGGUGCCCUAUUUAAAGUGAGUGCGGUUGUCUCUAAUGCAUAACCCAUAAACGAUAGUGGUAAUUCGAUAAGAGACUUCAUAGUAUGCACCAUACCAAAUAGUGCGUGGCUAUGACGUUCAGACACAUCAUCACACUAUGAUGUUCCAGGUGGCAUGAACUGCGAAAGAAUUUCCACAUUGUCUUAACUGCGUACCAAAACUCGUAACUCAGAUAUUCAUUUCUAUGAUCAUAUCGUAGACAGUUUAUCCUCUUGUUACGACGAACUUCACUCUGAAACGGAUUUGAACUUUUCAACAUUUCAGACUUGUGAUUCAUUAAGUAAAUACUCCUGUAUCUACUCAACUCGUCAGUGAAGUAAGAACAUAAUGAUAUCCACUGCGUGCCUCAGUACCCAUUGGACUGCAUACAUCAAAAUGUAUCACUUCCAACAAGUUACUAUCUUAUUUCAUCUCAAUGAAGACAAGGCCUUGCUCAUGUGGUAUGGUUUGCAUGUCACUAGUGAUUCGAAAUCAGGUGAGUACAAAGAUCCAUCAGCAUGGAGCCUCUUCAUGCAAUUUAUACUAACAUGACUCAAGCGGUAGUGCCACAAGUAAGUGGUACUAUCAUCAUUAACUCGUAUCUUUUUGGCACCAAUAUUAUGAACAUGUGUAACACUACGAUCGAGAUUCAAUAAACCAUUGACGGUGAUUAUUCAAGAAAUUAGAGUAACCAUUAUUCUCUUUAAAUGAAUAAUCGUAUUGCAAUAAACACGAUCCAAUCAUGUUCAUGCUUAAGGCAAGCACCAAAUAACAAUUAUUUAGGUUUAACACCAAUCUCGAUGGUAGAGGGAGCGUGCGACGUUUGAUCAUAUCAACCUUGGAAACACUUCCAACACGUAUCGUCACCUCGCCUUUAGCUAGUCUCCGUUUAUGCCGUAGCUUUCAUUUCGUGUUACUAAUCACUUAGCAACCGAACCGGUAUCCAAUACCCUCAUGCUACUAGGAGUACUAGUAAAGUACACAUCAACAUCAUGUAUAUCAAAUACACUUCUUUCGACUUUUGCCAGCCUUCUUAUCUACCAAGUAUCUAGAGUUGCUCCGCCUCAGUGACUGUUCCCCUCAUUACAGAAGCACUUAGUCUCGGGUUUGGGUUUAAUCUUGGGUCUCUUCAUUAGUGCAGCAACUGUUUUGCCGUUUCACGAAGUAUCCCCACUAGCCCUUGCCUUUCUUGAAACUUAGUGGUUUUACAAACCAUCAACUAUUGACGCUCCUUCUUGAUUUCUACUUUUGCAGUGUCAAACAUCGCGAAUCGCUCAAGGAUCAUUGUAUCUAUCCUUGAUAUGUUAUAGUUCAUCACGAAGCUCUCACAGCUUGGUGGCAGUGACUUUGGAGAACCAUCACUAUCUCAUCUGGAAGAUUAACUCCCACUUGAUUCAAGUGAUUGUCGUACUCAGACAAUCUGAGCACACGCUCAACGAUUGAGCUUUUCUCCUUUACUUUGUGGACAAAGAAUCUUGUUGGAGGUCUCGUACCUCUUAACAAGGGCACAAGCAUGAAAUCACAAUUUCAUCUCUUUAGAACAUCACUUAUGUUCCGUGACGUUUUAUAACGUUUUCGGCGCCUUGCUUCUAAGCCAUUAAGUAUUUUGCACUGAACUAUCGUGUAGUCAUCAGAAACGUGGAUGUCGGAUGUUCAUAGCAUCCACAGACGACGCUCGAGGUGCAGCACACCGAGUGGUGCAUUAAGGACAUAAGCCUUCUGCGUAGCAACGAGGACAAUCAUCGGUUUUACAGACUCAGUCUACAAAGUUUGCUACUAUCAAUUUUCAACUAAAUUUUCUCUAGGAACAUAUAAAAACAGUAGAGCUAUAGCGUAAGCUACAUCGUAAUUCGCAAAGACCAUUAGACUAUGUUCAUGACAAUUAGUUCAAUUAAUCAUAUUACCUAAGAACUCCCACUCAAAAAGUACAUCUCUCUAGUCAUUUGAGUGGUACAUGAUCCAAAUCCGCUAUCUCAAGUCCGAUCAUCACGUGAGUCGAGAAUAGUUUCAGUGGUAAGCAUCUCUAUGCUAAUCAUAUCAACUAUACGAUUCAUGCUCGACCUUUCGGUCUCAUGUGUUCCGAGGCCAUGUCUGCACAUGCUAGGCUCGUCAAGCUUAACCCGAGUGUUCCGCGUGCGCAACUGUUUUGCACCUGUUGUAUGUGAACAUUGAGUCUAUCACACCCGAUCAUCAUGUGGUGUCUCGAAAGGACGAACUGUAGCAACGGUGCCCAGUCGGGGAGAACACAAUUUCGUCUUGAAAUUUUAGUGAGAGAUCACCUCAUAAUGCUACCGUCGUUCUAAGCAAAAUAAGGUGCAUAAAAGGAUUAACAUCACAUGCAAUUCAUAAGUGACAUGAUAUGGCCAUCAUCACGUGCUUCUUGAUCUCCAUCACCAAAGCACCGGCACGAUCUUCUUGUCACCGGCGUCACACCAUGAUCUCCAUCAUCAUGAUCUCCAUCAACGUGUCGCCAUCGGGGUUGUCGUGCUACUCAUGCUAUUACUACUAAAGCUACAUCCUAGCAAAAUAGUGAACGCAUCUGCAAGCACAAACGUUAGUUUAAAGACAACCCUAUGGCUCCUGCCGAUUGCCGUACCAUCGACAUGCAAGUCGAUAUUAACUAUUACAACAUGAUCAUCUCAUACAUCCAAUAUAUCACAUCACAUCGUUGGCCAUAUCACAUCACAAGCAUACCCUGCAAAAACAAGUUAGACGUCCUCUAAUUUUGUUGUUGCAUGUUUUACGUGGUGACCAUGGGUAUCUAGUAGGAUCGCAUCUUACUUACGCAAACACCACAACGGAGAUAUAUGAGUUUCUAUUUAACCUCAUCCAAGGACCUCCUCGGUCAAAUCCGAUUCAACUAAAGUUGGAGAAACCAACACUUGCCAGUCAUCUUUGAGCAACGGAGUUACUCGUAACGAUGAAACCAGUCUCUCGUAAGCGUACGAGUAACGUCGGUCCAAGCCGCUUCAAUCCAACAAUACCACGGAAUCAAGAAAAGACUAAGGAGGGCAGCAAAACGCACAUGUUCAAUCCAACAAUACCGCGGAAUCAACACUUGAUGCUCUUUACGGAGUUCAGACUCUACGACUUUCAGCAUCGCAAACAACUCGCCGAGAUACUUGUUCAUCCCUUGCAUGUUGUAGUUCAACACAAAGCCUUUAUAGCUUGGCGGCAGUGAUUGAAGGAUUCUGUCAGUGAUAGCUUCUUGCGGGAGUUCAAUCCCCUGCUCAGCUAGACGGUUUGAGUACCCACACAUUUUGAGCACAUGUUCACUGACAAAUGAGUUUUUCCUCCAUCUUGCAAGCAUAGAAUUUAUCGGAGGUAUCAUACCUCUCGAUCCGGGCGUUCUUCUGAAAGAUAAACUCCAACUCCUGGAACAUCUCAAAUGCUCCAUGACGCUCAAAGCGACGUUGAAGUCCCGGUUCUAAGCCAUACAAGACUGCACAUUGAACUAUUGAGUAGUCCUCCUUACGUGCUAACCAAGCGUUCUUAACAUCCUGAUCAGCCGUAGCGGGUGGUUCAUCUCCUAACGCAGCAUUAAGGACAUAAUCCUUCUUCCCAGCUUGUAAUAUUAGCUUAAGAUUACGAGCCCGGUCUACAAAGUUGCUUCCAUCAUCUUUCAACUUAGCUUUCUCUAGGAACAUAUUAAAAUUCAGGAUGACUGUCGCGUGAGCCAUGAUCUACAACACGAAUAUAUUCAAAGUGGACUCAGACUAUGUUCAAGAUAAUUAGAGUUUAACUUAAUCAAAUUAUUCGCUAAACUCCCACUCAAAAAGUACAUCUCUCUAGUCAUUUGAGUGGUUCAUGAUCCACUUACACUAGCUCAAGUCCGAUCAUCACGUGAGUUGAGUAUAGUUUCAGUGGUAAGCAUCCCUAUGCUAAUCAUAUCAUCUAUAUCAUUCAUGAUCGACCUUUCGGUCUCAUGUGUUCCGAGGCCAUGUCUGCACAUGCUAGGCUCGUCAAGCUUAACCCGAGUGUUCCGCGUGCGCAACUAUUUUGCACCCGUUGUAUGUGAACGUUGAGUCUAUCACACCCGAUCAUCACGUGGUGUCUCGAAACGACAAACUGUAGCAACGGUGCACAGUCGGGGAGAACACAAUUUCGUCUUGAAAUUUUAGUGAGAGAUCACCUCAUAAUGCUACCGUCGUUCUAAGCAAAAUAAGGUGCAUAAAGGGAUUAACAUCACAUGCAAUUCAUAAGUGACAUGAUAUGGCCAUCAUCACGUGCUUCUUGAUCUCCAUCACCAAAGCACCGACACGAUCUUCUUGUCACCGGCGCCACACCAUGAUCUCCAUCAACGUGUUGCCAUCGGGGUUGUCGUGCUACUCAUGCUAUUACUACUAAAGCUACAUCCUAGCAAAAUAGUGAACGCAUCUGCAAGCACACACGUUAGUAUAAAGACAAGCCUAUGGCUCCUGCCGGUUGCCGUACCAUCGACGUGCAAGUCGAUAUUUCUAUUACAACAUGAUCAUCUCAUACAUCCAAUAUAUCACAUCACAUCAUUGGCCAUAUCACAUCACAAGCAUACCCUGCAAAAACAAGUUAGACGUCCUCUAAUUUUGUUGUUGCAUAUUUUACGUGGUGACCAUGGGUAUCUAGUAGGAUCGCAUCUUACUUACGCAAACACCACAACGGAGAUAUAUGAGUUGCUAUUUAACCUCAUCCAAGGACCUCCUCGGUCAAAUACGAUUCAACUAAAGUUGGAGAAACCGACACUUGCCAGUCAUCUUUGAGCAACGGAGUUACUCGUAACGAUGAAACCAGUCUCUCGUAAGCGUACGAGUAAUGUCGGUCCAAGACGCUUCAAUCCAACAAUACCGCGGAAUCAAGAAAAGACUAAGGAGGGCAGCAAAACGCACAUCACCACCCACAAAAACUUUUGUGUUCUACUCGAGAAGACAUCUACGCAUGAACCUAGCUCAUGAUGCCACUGUUGGGGAACGUCGCAUGGGAAACAAAAAGUUUCCUACGCGCACGAAGACCUAUCAUGGUGAUGUCCAUCUACGAGAGGGGAUGAGUGAUCUACGUACCCUUGUAGAUCGUACAGCAGAAGCGUUAGUGAACGCGGUUGACGUAGUGGAACGUCCUCACGUCCCUCGAUCCGCCCCGCGAACAAUCCCGCGAUCAGUCCCACGAUCUAGUACCGAACGGAUGGCACCUCCGCGUUCAGCACACGUACAGCUCGACGAUGAUCUCGGCCUUCUUGAUCCAGCAAGAGAGACGGAGAGGUAGAAGAGUUCUCCGGCAGCGUGACGGCGCUCCGGAGGUUGGUGAUGACCUUGUCUCAGCAGGGCUCCGCCCGAGCUCCGCAGAAACGCGAUCUAGAGGAAAAACCGUGGAGGUAUGUGGUCGGGCUGCCGUGGAAAAAUCGUCUCAAAUCAGCCCUAAAACCUCCGUAUAUAUAGGUGGGAGGGAGGGGACCUUGCCUUGGGGCUCAAGGAGCCCCAAGGGGGUCGGCCGAGUCCAAGGGGGGAGGACUCCCCCCCCCAAACCGAGUUGGACUUGGUUUGGUGGGAGGGAGUCCCCCUUCCUUCCCACCUCCUUCCUUUUUUUUCUUUUCUCUUGAUUUUCUCUUCUUGGCGCAUAGAGCCCUUUUAGGCUGUCCCACCAGCCCACUAAGGGCUGGUGUGCCACCCUCAAGGCCUAUGGGCUUCCCCGGGGUGGGUUGCACCCCCGGUGAACUCCCGGAACCCAUUCGUCAUUCCCGGUAGAUUCCCGGUAACUCCGAAAACCUUCCGGUAAUCAAAUGAGGUCAUCCUAUAUAUCAAUCUUCGUUUCCGGACUAUUCCGGAAACCCUCGUGACGUCUGUGAUCUCAUCCGGGACUCCGAACAACAUUCGGUAACCAACCAUAUAACUCAAAUACGCAUAAAACAACGUCGAACCUUAAGUGUGCAGACCCUGCGGGUUCGAGAACUAUGUAGACAUGACCAGAGAGACUCCUCGGUCAAUAUCCAAUAGCGGGACCUGGAUGCCCAUAUUGGAUCCUACAUAUUCUACGAAGAUCUUAUCGUUUGAACCUCAGUGCCAAGGAUUCAUAUAAUCCCGUAUGUCAUUCCCUUUGUCCUUCGAUAUGUUACUUGCCCGAGAUUCGAUCGUUAGUAUCCGUAUACCUAUUUCAAUCUCGUUUACCGGCAAGUCACUUUACUCGUUCUGUAAUACAAGAUCCCGGAACUUACACUAAGUUACAUUGCUUGCAAGGCUUGUGUGUGAUGUUGUAUUACCGAGUGGGCGCCGAGAUACCUCUCCGUUCACACGGAGUGACAAAUCCCAGUCUUGAUCCAUACUAACUCAACUAACACCUUCGGAGAUACCUGUAGAGCAUCUUUAUAGUCACCCAGUUACGUUGCGACGUUUGAUACACACAAAGCAUUCCUCCGGUGUCAGUGAGUUAUAUGAUCUCAUGGUCAUAGGAAUAAAUACUUGACACGCAGAAAACAGUAGCAACAAAAUGACACGAUCAACAUGCUAUGUCUGUUAGUUUGGGUCUAGUCCAUCACGUGAUUCUCCUAAUGACGUGAUCCAGUUAUCAAGUAACAACACCUUGUUCAUAAUCAGAAGACACUGACUAUCUUUGAUCAACUGGCUAGCCAACUAGAGGCUUGCUAGGGACGGUGUUUUGUCUAUGUAUCCACACAUGUAAAUGAGUCCUCAUUCAAUACAAUUAUAGCAUGGAUAAUAAACAAUUAUCUUGAUACAGGAAUUAUAAUAAUAACUAUAUUUAUUAUUGCCUCUAGGGCAUAAUUCCAACAGUCUCCCACUUGCACUAGAGUCAAUAAUCUAGCCCUCACAUCACCAUGUGAAUUACAUUGUAAUAAAUCUAACACCCAUACAGUUCUGGUGUUGAUCAUGCUUUGGCCGUGGAAGAGGUUUAGUCAGCGGGUCCGCUACAUUCAGAUCCGUGUGCACUUUGCAUAUAUUCACGUCCUCUCCCUCGACGUAGUCGCGGAUGAGGUUGAAGCGUCGUUUGAUGUGUCUGGUCUUCUUGUGAAACCGUGGUUCCUUUGCUAAGGCAAUGGCACCAGUGUUGUCACAGAACAAGGUUAUUGGAUUCAGUGCGCUUGGCACCACUCCAAGAUCCGUCAUGAACUGCUUCAUCCAGACACCCUCCUUCGCCGCCUCCGAGGCAGCCAUGUACUCCGCUUCACAUGUAGAAUCUGCUACAACGCUUUGCUUGGAACUGCACCAGCUUACUGCACCCCCAUUAAUAAUAAAUACGUAUCUGGUUUGCGACUUAGAGUCGUCCGGAUCUGUGUCAAAGCUUGCAUCGACGUAACCUUUUACGGCGAGCUCUUCGUCACCUCCAUACACGAGAAACAUCUUCUUAGUCCUUUUCAGGUACUUCAGGAUAUUCUUGACCGCUGUCCAGUGAUCCACUCCUGGAUUACUCUGGAACCUACCUGCCAUACUUAUCGCCAGGCUAACAUCCGGUCUAGUGCACAGCAUUGCAUACAUGAUAGAACCUAUAGCUGAAGCAUAGGGGACGGAGCGCAUAUGCUCUCUAUCUUCAUCAGUUGCUGGGCACCGAGUCUUACUCAAUCUCGUACCUUGUAGAACUGGAAAGAACCCUUUCUUGGACUGUUCCAUUUUGAACCUCUUCAAAACUUUAUCAAGGUAUGUGCUUUGUGAAAGUCCUAUCAGGCGUUUUGAUCUAUCCCUAUAGAUCUUAAUGCCUAGAAUGUAAGCAGCUUCUCCUAGGUCCUUCAUAGAGAAACUUUUAUUCAAGUAAUCCUUUAUGCUCUCUAAAAACUCUACGUUGUUUCCAAUCAGUAAUAUGUCAUCCACACAUAAUAUUAGAAACGCCACAGAGCUCCCACUCACUUUCUUGUGAAUACAAGAUUCUCCAACCACUUGUAUAAACCCAAAUGCUUUGAUCACCUCAUCAAAGCGUUUGUUCCAACUCCGAGAUGCUUGCACCAGUCCAUAAAUGGAUCGCUGGAGCUUGCACACCUUGUUAGCAUUCUUAGGAUCGACAAAACCUUCGGGUUGUAUCAUAUACAACUCUUCCUUAACGAAACCGUUAAGGAACGCCGUUUUGACAUCCAUCUGCCAGAUUUCGUAAUCAAAAAAUGCAGCUAUUGCUAACAUGAUUCUGACGGACUUAAGCAUCGCUACGGGUGAGAAAGUCCCAUCGUAGUCAACUCCUUGAACUUGUGAAAAACCCUUUGCCACAAGUCGAGCUUUAUAAACGGUCACAUUACCGUCAGCGUCCGUCUUCCUCUUAAAGAUCCAUUUGUUCUGAAUGGCCUUGCGGCCCUCAGGCAGUACCUCCAAAGUCCACACUUUGUUCUCAUACAUGGAUCCUAUCUCGGACUUCAUGGCUUCCAGCCAUUUGUUGGAAUCUGGGCCCACCAUUGCUUCUUCAUAAUUCGCAGGUUCAUUGUUGUCUAACAACAUGAUUGAUAAGACGGGAUUACCGUACCACUCUGGAGCAGCACGUGGUCUCGUCGACCUGCGUGGUUCGACAGAAACUUGAACUGGAGUUUCAUGAUCAUCAUCAUUAACUUCCUCCUCAACCGGCGUCGCAAUGACAGAGGUUUCCCCCUGCCCUGCGCCACCAUCCAGAGGGAUGAGAGGUUCGACAACCUGUCAAGUUCUAUCUUCCUCCCACUCAAUUCUCUCGAGAGAAACUCCUUCUCGAGAAAAACUCCGUUUUUAGCAACAAACACUUUGCCCUCGGGUUUGAGAUAGAAGGUGUACACAACUGUCUCUUUUGGGUAACCUAUGAAGACGCACUUUUCCGCUUUGGGUUCCAGCUUUUCAGGCUGAAGCUUUUUGACAUAAGCAUCACAUCCCCAAACUUUAAGAAACGACAACUUUGGCCUUUUGCCAUACCACAGUUCGUAUGGUGUCGUCUCAACGGAUUUUGAUGGUGCCCUAUUUAAAGUGAAUGCAGCUGUUUCUAAUGCAUAGCCCCAAAAUGAUAACGGCAAAUCAGUAAGAGACAUCAUAGAUCGCACCAUCUCUAAUAGAGUACGAUUACGUCGUUCGGACACACCAUUACGCUGUGGUGUUCCAGGCGGUGUUAACUGUGAAACAAUUCCACAUUGUCUUAAGUGAGCACCAAACUCGAAACUCAGAUAUUCACCCCCACGAUCAGAUCGUAGGAACUUGAUCUUCUUGUUACGAUGAUUUUCCACUUCACUCUGAAAUUGCUUGAACUUUUCAAAUGUUUCAGACUUGUGCUUCAUCAAGUAGACAUAACCAUGUCUACUUAAAUCGUCAGUGAAGGUGAGAAAAUAACGAUAUCCGCCGCGUGCCUCCACGCUCAUCGGACCACACACAUCGGUAUGUAUGAUUUCCAACAAGUCACUUGCACGCUCCAUUGUUCCUGAGAACGGAGUCUUAGUCAUCUUGCCCAUGAGGCAUGGUUCGCACGUGUCAAGUGACUCCAAAAGUCCAUCAGCAUGGAGUUUCUUCAUGCGCUUUACAACAAUAUGACCUAAGCGGCAGUGCCACAAAAAUAUGGCGCUAUCAUUGUUAACUCUAACUCUUUUGGUCUCAAUGUUAUGUAUAUGCGUAUCAUUAUCAAGAUUCAAUAUGAACAAUCCUCUCACAUUCGGUGCAUGACCAUAAAAGAUGUUACUCAUAGAAAUAGAACAACCAUUAUUCUCUGACUUAAAAGAGUAACCGUCUCGCAAUAAACAAGAUCCAGAUAUAAUGUUCAUGCUCAACGCAGGCACCAAAUAACAAUGAUUUAAGUUCAUCACUAAUCCUGACGGUAACUGAAGUGACACUGUGCCGACGGCGAUUGCAUCAACCUUGGAACCAUUUCCUACGCGCAUCGUCACUUCAUCUUUCGCCAGCCUUCGCCUAUUCCGCAGUUCCUGUUUCGAGUUGCAAAUAUGAGCAACAGAACCGGUAUCGAAUACCAAGGCACUACUACGAGAGCCGGUUAAGUACACAUCAAUAACAUGUAUAUCAAUUAUACCUGAUUUUUCUUUGCCCGCCUUCUUAUCUGCCAGAUACUUGGGGCAAUUGCGCUUCCAGAGACCCAUACCCUUGCAAUAGUAACACUCCGUUUCUGGUUUAGGUCCAGCUUUGGGUUUCUUCGUCGGAUUGGCAACAGGCUUGCCGCUCUUCUUCGAAUUGCCCUUCUUGCCUUUGCCGUUUCUCUUGAAACUAGUGGUCUUAUUCACCAUCAACACUUGAUGCUCUUUACGGAGUUCAGACUCUGCGACUUUCAGCAUCGCAAACAACUCGCCGGGAGACUUGUUCAUCCCUUGCAUGUUGUAGUUCAACACAAAGCCUUUAUAGCUUGCCGGCAGUGAUUGAAGGAUUCUGUCAGUGAUAGCUUCUUGCGGGAGUUCAAUCCCCAGCUCAACUAGACGGUUUGAGUACCCAGACAUUUUAAGCACAUGUUCACUGACAGAUGAGUUUUCCUCCAUCUUGCAAGCAUAGAAUUUAUCGGAGGUCUCAUACCUCUCGAUCCGGGCGUUCUUCUAAAAGAUAAACUCCAACUCCUGGAACAUCUCAAAUGCUCCAUGACGCUCAAAGCGACGUUGAAGUCCCGGUUCUAAGCCAUACAAGACUGCACAUUGAACUAUUGAGUAGUCCUCCUUACGUGCUAACCAAGCGGUCUUAACAUCCUGAUCAGCCGUAGCGGGUGGUUCAUCUCCUAACGCAGGAUUAAGGAUAUAAUCCUUCUUCCCAGCUUGUAAGAUUAGCUUAAGAUUACGAGCCCAGUCUACAAAGUUGCUUCCAUCAUCUUUCAACUUAGCUUUCUCUAGGAACGUAUUAAAAUUCAGGAUGACUGUCGCGUGAGCCAUGAUCUACAACACAAAUAUAUUCAAAGUGGACUUAGACUAUGUUCAAGAUAAUUAGAGUUUAACUUAAUCAAAUUAUUCGCUAAACUCCCACUAAGAAAGUACAUCUCUCUAGUCAUUUGAGUGGUUCAUGAUCCACUUACACUAGCUCAAGUCCGAUCAUCACGUGAGUUGAGUAUAGUUUCAGUGGUAAGAAUCCCUAUGCUAAUCAUAUCAUCUAUAUGAUUCAUGAUCGACCUUUCGGUCUCAUGUGUUCCAAGGCCAUGUCUGCACAUGCUAGGCUCGUCAAGGUUAACCCAAGUGUUCCGCGUGCGCAACUGUUUUGCACCCGUUGUAUGUGAACGUUGAGUCUAUCACACCCGAUCAUCACGUGGUGUCUCGAAACGACGAACUGUAGCAACGGUGCACAGUCGGGGAGAACACAAUUUCGUCUUGAAAUUUUAGUGAGAGAUCACCUCAUAAUGCUACCGUCGUUCUAAGCAAAAUAAGGUGCAUAAAGGGAUUAACAUCACAUGUAAUUCAUAAGUGACAUGAUAUGGCCAUCAUCACGUGCUUCUUGAUCUCCAUCACCAAAGCACCGGCACGAUCUUCUUGUCACCGGCGCCACACCAUGAUCUCCAUCAACGUGUUGCCAUCGGGGUUGUCGUGCUACUCAUGCUAUUACUACUAAAGCUACAUCCUAGCAAAAUAGUAAACGCAUCUGCAAGCACACACGUUAGUAUAAAGACAACCCUAUGGCUCCUGCCGGUUGCCGUACCAUCGACGUGCAAGUCAAUAUUUCUAUUACAACAUGAUCAUCUCAUACAUCCAAUAUAUCACAUCACAUCAUUGGCCAUAUCACAUCACAAGCAUACCCUGCAAAAACAAGUUAGACGUCCUCUAAUUUUGUUGUUGCAUCUUUUACGUGGUGACCAUGGGUAUCUAGUAGGAUCGCAUCUUACUUACGCAAACACCACAAUGGAGAUAUAUGAGUUGCUAUUUAACAUCAUCCAAGGACCUCCUCGGUCAAAUCCGAUUCAACUAAAGUUGGAGAAACCGACACUUGCCAGUCAUCUUUGAGCAACGGAGUUACUUGUAACGAUGAAACCAGUCUCUCGUAAGCGUACGAGUAAUGUCGGUCCAAGCCGCUUCAAUCCAACAAUACCGCGGAAUCAAGAAUAGACUAAGGAGGGCAGCAAAAUGCACAUCACUGCCCACAAAAACUUUUGUGUUCUACUCGAGAAGACAUCUACGCAUGAACCUAGCUCUGAUACCACUGUUGGGGAACGUCGCAUGCAAAACAAAAAAUUUCCUACGCGCACGAAGACCUAUCAUGGUGAUGUCCAUCUUCGAGAGGGGAUGAGUGAUCUACGUACCCUUGUAGACCAUACAGCAGAAGCGUUAGUGAACGCGGUUGAUGUAGUGGAACAUCCUCACGUCCCUCGAUCCGCCCCGUGAACUAUCCCGCGAUCAGUCCCACGAUCUAGUACCGAACGGACGGCACCUCCGCGUUCAGCACACGUACAGCUCGACGAUGAUCUCGGCCUUCUUGAUCCAGCAAGAGAGACGGGGAGGUAGAAGAGUUCUCCGGCAGCGUGACGGCGCUCCGGAGGUUGGUGAUGACCUUGUCUCAGCAGGGCUCCGCCCGAGCUCCGCAGAAACGCGAUCUAGAGGAAAAACCGUGGAGGUAUGUGGUCGGGCUGCCGUGGAAAAAGUUGUCUCAAAUCAGCCCUAAAACCCCACUAUAUAUAGGAGGAGGAGGGUGGAGACUUGCCUUGGGGUCCAAGGACUCCCAAGGGAGUCGGCCGAGACAAGGGGGAAGGUCUCCCCCUCCCAAACCGAAAUCCACUUGGUUUGGAAGGUGGAGUCCUUCUUCCCUUUCCCACCUCCUUCUUUUUUUUCCUUUCCUCUUUGAUUUUCUUUCCUAUGUGCAUAGGCCUCUCUUGGGCUGUCUCACCAGCCCACUAAGGGCUGGUGCGGCACCCCAAACACCCAUGGGCUUCCCGGGGUGGGUGGGCCCCCCCGGUGAACUCCCGGAACCCAUUCGUCAUUCCCGGUACAUUCCCGGUAACUCCGAAAACCUUCCGCUAAUCAAAUGAGGUCAUCCUAUAUAUCAAUCUUCGUUUCCGGACCAUUCCGGAAACCCUCGUGACAUCCGUGAUCUCAUCCGGGACUCCGAACAACAUUCGGUAACCAACCAUAUAACUCAAAUACGCAUAAAACAACGUCGAACCUUAAGUGUGCAGACCCUGCGGGUUCGAGAACUAUGUAGACAUGACCCGAGACACUCCUCGGUCAAUAUCCAAUAGCGGGACCUGGAUGCCCAUAUUGGAUCCCACAUAUUCUACGAAGAUCUUAUCGUUUGAACCUCAGUGACAAGGAUUCAUAUAAUCCCGUAUGUCAUUCCCUUUGUCCUUCGGUAUGUUACUUGCCCGGGAUUCGAUCGUUAGUAUCCGCAUACCUAUUUCAAUCUCGUUUACCGGCAAGUCUCUUUACUCGUUCUGUAAUACAAGAUCCCGCAACUUACACUAAGUCAGAUUGCUUGCAAGGCUUGUGAGUGAUGUUGUAUUACCGAGUGGGCCCCGAGAUACCUCUCCGUCAUACGGAGUGACAAAUCCCAGUAUUGAUCCAUACUAACUCAAUGAACACCUUCGGAGAUACCUGUAGAGCAUCUUUAUAGUCACCCAGUUACGUUGCGACGUUUGAUACACACAAAGCAUUCCUCCGGUGUCCGUGAGUUAUAUGAUCUCAUGGUCAUAGGAACAAAUACUUGACACGCAGAAAACAGUAGCAACAAAAUGACACGAUCAACAUGCUACGUCUAUUAGUUUGGGUCUAGUCCAUCACAUGAUUCUCCUAACGAUGUGAUCCCGUUAUCAAGUGACAACACUUGCCUAUGGCCAGGAAACCUUGACCAUCUUUGAUCAACGAGCUAGUCAACUACAGGCUUACUAGGGACAGUGUUUUGUCUAUGUAUCCACACAAGUAUUGUGUUUCCAAUUAAUACAAUUAUAGCAUGGAUAAUAAACGAUUAUCAUGAACUAAGAAAUAUAAUAAUAACUAAUUUAUUAUUGCCUCUAGGGCAUAUUUCAGACAGUCUCCCACUUGCACUAGAGUCAAUAAUCUAGUUCACAUCACCAUGUGAUUCAACCGAAUCCAACACCCAUAUAGUUAUGGGGUCUGAUCACGUCUUGCUCGUGAGAGAGGUUUUAGUCAAUGGUUCUGAAACUUUCAGAUCCGUGUGUUCUUUACAAAUCUUUAUGUCAUCUUAUAGAUGCUGCUACUACGUGCUAUUCGAAAAUGCUCCAAAUAUCUACUCUACUAUACGAAUCCGUUUCACUACUCAUAGUUAGUCGGAUUAGUGUCAAAGCUUGCAUGCNNNNNNNNNNNNNNNNNNNNNNNNNNNNNNNNNNNNNNNNNNNNNNNNNNNNNNNNNNNNNNNNNNNNNNNNNNNNNNNNNNNNNNNNNNNNNNNNNNNNACUUAGUGUAAGUUGCGGGAUCUUGUAUUACAGAACGAGUAAAGAGACUUGCCGGUAAACGAGAUUGAAAUAGGUAUGCGGAUACUAACGAUCGAAUCCCGGGCAAGUAACAUACCGAAGGACAAAGGGAAUGACAUACGGGAUUAUAUGAAUCCUUGUCACUGAGGUUCAAACGAUAAGAUCUUCGUAGAAUAUGUGGGAUCCAAUAUGGGCAUCCAGGUCCCGCUAUUGGAUAUUGACCGAGGAGUGUCUCGGGUCAUGUCUACAUAGUUCUCGAACCCGCAGGGUCUGCACACUUAAGGUUCGACGUUGUUUUAUGCGUAUUUGAGUUAUAUGGUUGGUUACCGAAUGUUGUUCGGAGUCCCGGAUGAGAUCACGGAUGUCACGAGGGUUUCCGGAAUGGUCCGGAAACGAAGAUUGAUAUAUAGGAUGACCUCAUUUGAUUAGCGGAAGGUUUUCGGAGUUACCGGGAAUGUACCGGGAAUGACGAAUGGGUUCCGGGAGUUCACCGGGGGGGCCCGACCCACCCCGGGAAGCCCAUGGGUGUUUGGGGUGCCGGCACCAGCCCCUUAGUGGGCUGGWGAGACAGCCCAAGAGAGGCCUAUGCACAUAGGAAAGAAAAUCNNNNNNNNNNNNNNNNNNNNNNNNNNNNNNNNNNNNNNNNNNNNNNNNNNNNNNNNNNNNNNNNNNNNNNNNNNNNNNNNNNNNNNNNNNNNNNNNNNNNCGCUCUCGGAUUCCUUGAAUUUUUCUGAUCCUUUUACUUAUAUUAUUUGUCAAAUUUGGAGUUAUAUUCAAUUUUCUAUGAAUUACCAAAGUUUUGAACUUAUUCUGGAAUUAUUUUUUAAACNGAAAAGGCUUUAUUGCAUCAGCAUGACAUGAGCAGGUCAAUCUGGCCGUUGAAAGUCAAACCUGACCAGUGGGACCCACUGGUCAGUGACUCUGUCCAGGUUUUAGUUAAAUUUAAAUUUAAUUUGCUAAUUAACAGGGUUGGACCCACAUGUCAGUGUUUGGUUAGGUUUUAAAAUAAUAUUUAUUUUUAUUAGACUAAUCCUAAUUAGCCUGGGGGUUGGUCUCACCUGCCAUUGACUCAAGGGAGUCAGAUCCACCGGCGGCGAGGUCGAUCUUGCCGGCGGUAAGCCUCUGGCAGCACCAGAGACGGCGAAGGGGAAGACAAUUCAAUGUUAUAUUGAAGUAUUUGUAUCUUUUGAUCCGCUAUUUCAAAUCUAGUAAUUCUUUUUUUCUACACGCUCAUAUUGAUCUCCUAUAUCCAGUUAGCAUCAUUAGUUUUGACCCUUUGAACCUUACAAAUUUUGAGCGAUUCAAAUUUGUAUUCGAACAUUCAUUUGAUCUUAUAGUGCAAAUCGUACCACCUUUUCAAUUGAUUUCCUUUACCCCUAACACUCAUGUCAUAUNNNNNNNNNNNNNNNNNNNNNNNNNNNNNNNNNNNNNNNNNNNNNNNNNNNNNNNNNNNNNNNNNNNNNNNNNNNNNNNNNNNNNNNNNNNNNNNNNNNNUAGAAGAUAUGCUUCGAGCUUGUGUCAUAUCGUUCAGUAUGAAUUGGGAGAAGUGCCUUCCAUUCGUCGAAUUUGCUUAUAACAAUAGUUACCAAUCAAGCUUGGGCAAAGCUCCUUUUGAAGUUCUGUAUGGACGAAGAUGUCGAACACCUCUUAAUUGGUCAGAAACCGGAGAGAGGCAACUCUUUGGUCCGGAUAUGAUCCAGGAUGCAAAAGAGCAAGCUCACAUUAUUCGUGAAAAGUUGAAAACAGCCCAGUCUCGUCAAAAGAGCCAAUAGGAUCGUCAUCAUAAGGGUGUGACAUUUGAAGUUGAUGAGAAGGCUUACCUUGGGGUUACACCUUUGAAGGGUACCCAUCGAUUCGGUAUAGGAGGAGUCACCCCUCUUCGGGGACCACUACUACCACCAGUCAGGGGACCAAGGCGACAUCCGUGCCCUUACGGUUCCCACGGGUCUCAGGCUCGAGUAUUCCUGAUCCACAGGUUGAGCUCCCAGGUCAUGGNNNNNNNNNNNNNNNNNNNNNNNNNNNNNNNNNNNNNNNNNNNNNNNNNNNNNNNNNNNNNNNNNNNNNNNNNNNNNNNNNNNNNNNNNNNNNNNNNNNNAUGAACCUAGCUCAUGAUGCCACUGUUGGGGAACGUCGCAUGGGAACAAAAAUUCCUACGCACACGAAGACCUAUCAUGGUGAUGUCCAUCUACGAGAGGGGAUAUUCGAUCUACGUACCCUUUGUAGAUCGCACAGCAGAAGCGUUAAGAAACGCGGUUGAUGUAGUGGAACGUCCUCACGUCCCUCAAUCCGCCCCGCGAACCGUCCCGCGAUCAGUCCCACGAUCUAGUGCCGAACGGACGGCACCUCCGCAUUCAGCACACGUACAGCUCGACGAUGAUCUCGGCCUUCUUGAUCCAGCAAGAGAGACGGAGAGGUAGAUGAGUUCUCCGGCAGCGUGACGGCGCUCCGGAGGUUGGUGAUGAUCUUAUCUCGGCACGGCUCCGCCCGAGCUCCGCAGAAACGCAAUCUAGAGGUAAAACCGUGGAGAUAUAUGGUCGGGCUGCCGUGGCAAAGUUGUCUCAAAUCAGCCCUAAAACCUCCGUAUAUAUAGGUGGGAGAGGCGGAGCCUUGCCUUGGGGCUCAAGGAGCCCCAAGGGGGUCGGCCGAGCCAAGGGGGGGAAUCCGUCCCCUUCCAAACCGAAUCCAACUAGGUUUGGAAGGAGGAGUCCUUCCCCUUUUUCCCACCUCCUCUUUUUUUCCUCUUUGAUUUUCUUCCUAUGGCGCAUAGGGCCUUCUUGGGCUGUCCCACCAGCCCACCAAGGGCUGGUGCGCCACCCCCAAGGUCUAUGGGCNNNNNNNNNNNNNNNNNNNNNNNNNNNNNNNNNNNNNNNNNNNNNNNNNNNNNNNNNNNNNNNNNNNNNNNNNNNNNNNNNNNNNNNNNNNNNNNNNNNNGCACCUCAAAACAAAUGUCCCAUUUCCCCUCUGCUAUACAUCGCCCCUCUCUCUCUGGGCUCUUGGUAGCAGAAGCAAUAGGUAUCUAUACACACAAAUUUAGUACAGUACUUAUCAAGAUUAACCCGGUAACAGCCUUACUUAGUUUCUCCUCUUCACUAAUUGCAAGAAGCCUCCUGGAAUGAAUCAAAGGAUGAUGCCUCGCUCGGUACUCAUUGCAAGAAGUAGCCGGAGAGGAAGAAGGCGAAGCCGA